rnacentral:lncRNA from 1 species
UGGGAAUUGCCAGCUGGCACAAAGCUAAACUUAUCUGAAAAAUUUGGGAUUGUCAUUAAGAAAAAAGAGCCUUUGGUUGCUAUUCCAACACCAAGACUAUCCAAUUCAGAGCUCUACCAUUAAGACAGAAUGAUUGUGAUGAUUUUGUUAGUAUCGGAAGAUUUGUAUGUUAUUUCAAGUUCAAUCGUAAUAAAAUAUUUUAAUAAAAGUCCUCCGUUGCUAAUUUUUUUUUUUCAACGGCAUAAUCUGUCAUCGUGCUUGUGUUUGGAGCUACUUUGGAAUGAUUAUUUUUGAAUUACAAUUUAUAAAUAUUUACGUUUUAAAUUUUUUAUAAGAGUCUAAAUUUAUACACGUUCAGUAAAAGAUUCCCUAAAAGCUUUACAAUUCAAAAUUCUAUUAAAAGUAUAGAUGAAACUUUUAUACCUACUAAUUUUUUGGUCUAUUCUACGAGUUUAAAGAGGAGAUAUUUCUAGAGUUAGCAAAAAGUGUUACAUGAUUGUUUUCGCGUAAUGUCAUUUUUUAUUGUGUUAAAUUUAGUUUGACUCAAAUAUGACCCAUUUAAUAAUCGUGUCAAAAUAUUGAAAUUUGAACUCAACACAGAAAAUAAAUGGGUGACCAGUCACACCCAUUUAAUAAUUAGGUAACCAUGUCACUUAAUACGACAUAACCCAAUAACUCGUUUAAUACAUAUUUAACAUAAUUUAUAUUGUACAUUGUACACCCUUUUGUCAUAAAUUACACUAUUUUAUAUUUCUAAAUAAUAUUAUAUAUUGAUAUUGUAUAAAAAAAAUCAAUAAUCUCAAAAUUUGUACACCUCCUAACUUUUAAAAAGAAAUAAAAAACUAAUUAAUUAAUGUUUAUUUUAUUCAUUAAUAUAUCAUAAUCCUACAUGUGUUUUAUUUGUUAUUUUUUUAUUUAAAAAGAUAGGAAGGUGGAUGAAACUCAAAUAAAUUUUUAGCCUAUCUUGAUCUUUCAAGUUUCUUAUUUAAGUGGCCAGCUAAAGAAAAUUACUUGAAGCUACUCCAUCAAUUUAACAAAUUUUAUUUAUUUAUUUAAUGGAGGUGUAGAAAAUAAAAGUAUCUGCAAGCACAUUGCAAUAGUGAAAGCAAUGUACCGGUGUUGCAACAUAACUGAACCUUGAUAACCGAUCACAUAUUUUAAGUUUUAACAUUGGUAGUUCACGGAUCGGUUUCUACUUCCACGAACAAUUAUUGAAGGAAAUGAGUUUUUUUUUUAAUGAAUAUUUAUAGACCCCGAUUAAAUAUUCGAAUAUAUAAUAAAAGAGAAACUGACAUAGAAAUGAGAAAGAUAUUUGGAGGAGGCAAAAAAAAAAAAAAAAAAAAUGCAACAGAGAAUUAGAUCAGUAACACAAAUAACUAAUUAAUUCAUCUAUACAUCAUAAUCCUAUUUGUAUCUUCUUCCUUCUUCUAAUUUACAUAUAAAUUUGGUUAGAUAAAACAUAUUUUAAUACUCGGUCACAAGCGGUGGAUAUAGAAAAUUAAUUUAGAGGGGGUAAUACCAUAACGAAAAAUAAUGAUUCAUAAUUAAAAUCAACCCCAACAUCAAAACUUAUUUACAAGAUUACGCCCAGUCAAAGGUAAAUUUUCUUAAAAACUAAUAUGAAAUUAAAUAAAUUUAACUUUUAGUGGGUUCAAGUGCCCACGCAUUCUGAACGUAGAUCCACCCCUGGCCCCGACUGAAGCAUUUUUUUACAAUAUGUACUCAGUUUAUCAGCAGGAACAACCUUCCACUUUAAAUUAAAAUUUUCACUUAAAAAUGAUUAAUGUUAAUGAGGUUAGCAACAAAAAUGAGUUUAAUUAGAGAAUAUUAUAAGAGAAAUUAUAUUUUUUGACUUUUAAUAAAUUAAAAUAUAUUAAAAUAUUAUUAGUUGGUGGUGGUUUCACGUCAGAUUAAGACGUGACACUUUACUUAUGAGGUCGAGACAAUCGACUUAAAUUAUUUCAAUGCAUUUAAAAUUUAUACUAAUGGCUAUUAUUCUUUAUCCAAAUUAAUACGAUAAUUAAUAACAUACAAUUGAAAUAAUUAAUAUUAUCACUUGGCAAUAAAUAAAGCUCUUGUGCUUGAAUCGUCACACAUGAUCAUUUCAUUCCUUUAUUUACUUUGCUAACACAGAUUUUGAGGCAUUAAAACUAAAUAAUAAUUGAAUAUGGCUUUGUGCGUCGCUGACGCCAGCAGCAAGGGGACCUCAAUUAUCACUUUUUAAGUUGAUUAUUGCAGUGUUUUUAUUUUUUAUAUUAAAAUUAAGUCGAUUUGUUAUAAUAAACUUAGUUGAGUUUAAUGGUAUUACUACAAAAAUUGAAUAGUCAUUAAAUAUUUUAAUAUUUUUAUCGCAAUCAUUGCUGUAGCAUUUAUUUAUUGUAUGAUGAAUUUUAAAAUUUAUAAAAUUAUUUGUUAUUUAAUUACCCCAGAUGCUACAUCACCUGAAACUUAAUAAAGGGAACGUAGCAUUGCCAUUACUCAACAUUCACUCUUAUGACUUUUUUUUUUUUUUUUGUUUUAUCUACUAGGUAUUCUGGGGAGGGCCCCAACUGUGGGAGGCACCUUUAAGCCCAUACCACAAUUCAGAUUAGAAGUCCCCGCUCGAACCAGGAGGCACAUGUUCUCCCAACAAAGACGACUUCCCUGCGACUCGAACUGUGAAGCAAACCCAGUCAAACCACUUAAAGGGACUCCAUUACCAGUGGAGCCAACACUUUAUUGGUACUCUUAUGACUUUAUGACAUUAGAAUUAAAAUCUUUCGUACAUUUAAUUUGUUUGCUUCCAAAUUAAAUCUUUAAUAAAUAUUUUUUUCACAUUAUCAUGAAUGGACAAAACUCCAACGAAAAUAACUACACAAGAACAAUCUAUGCUAGUAUUAUAUGCCACGAUAUCUAUAACUUUGUCAGGAUCGAUCGGUCUAAUUUUUACGCAGAACUUUUUGUCAAUCGACAAACACCUCACAGAGCUUGUCACCUGUCAGCCGCAUUAUUACGAUGUAAAAUUGCACCGGAAUAUCUUGAAUUAUUAGUAGAAUAACGAAGACUAUUUGGAGCAAUAAAAACAAAUAACGCAGAUGAAAACAAUGGCUGAAAUUAUGUAAGUGAGCCCCAAAGUUUUUGCUAUUUCCUGGAAAUCCCCAAUUUGAAUGGACUAGAGGGAGGCACGUAAGAAAUACAUUUUCUUCCUAGACAAUGACAGCUAUGCAUCAAGCCACGGUGGCGUCAGUAUUGAAAUUAAGGUGUAAUUAUUCAGCCAAUGAGCCUUACACAUCAAGAUAAAAGUCAAGAAAAUGGAAAUUUGGCCGUUUCCAUUUUGAAGUUAAAAACAAAGUUUCUUUCGUUUUGUGGGCGACUCGACUGAUCAGUUGGUGGACACCUCUAUUGAAAAUAUCUCUGACAUUUCACUCGACAAACUUGUUAAUACAAAAAAUCUAUGAUUUUAUCGUCUGUAUACUGUAGAAAAAAAUUGUCUAUACAUCUGUGGUAUAGAUUUUAUGUAUUUCAUUACAAAAUGCUGGCCGUUAGAACUCUAUCUACAUCUAUUUAUAAGAUAUUUCGUUAUAAUUCAUUCUGAAACACUAAAACUAAAUAAUCGAAUAUGGCUUUCCCGAUCGAUGAUGCCAGCAGCAAUGAGACUGCAAUUAUCACUUGUUUAGUUUCUGUGCUUGCCGUGGUUUAUUUCGCAUGGAAUGUGAAAAAAUCAAGGAAAGCAAAUGCUACACUGCCACCAGGACCUCGCGGCUUGCCUGUAUUCGGAUACCUCCCAUUUCUCGGAAAUACUGACUUACACAAGAAGUUCACGGAAUUAUCUGGAGUUUAUGGUCCGAUCUUCAAGCUUUGGCUUGGAAAUAAAUUGUGUGUAGUGGUGAGCUCACCUUCCCUAAUUAGACAAGUGGUUCGUGAUCAAGAUACAACAUUCGCGAACCGUGACCCACCGAUGGCUGCACUAGUGGUCUCCUAUGGUGGCAAUGAUAUUGUACGGUCCAAUUACGGUCCCGAAUGGAGAAAGUUGCGCAAAUUUUUUGUGGGCAAGAUGAUGAGUAACGCAAGCCUUGAUGCUUGUUAUGCUCUAAGAAAACAAGAGGUUAAAAAUACUAUCAGGGAUUUGUACAACAACGACAACAAAAUUGGUAAGCCCAUUGACAUUGGUGAAUUGUCGAUUUCAACCUUGGUAUGUGCUAUGCAGAACAUGCUGUGGGCCUGUGGGGUGAAGCGCUUGAAAUAAGAGAGGAAGGGAUCACUAAUCAUGGGGCUGAGCUAAAAUUUAAGCUGGCAGAACUCAUGGUGCUAGCGGGAACACCGAAUAUUUCAGACAUCUUUCCAAUGCUUUCAUGGCUCGACAUACAAGGUAUAGAGAGGAGAGCAAAGAAGAUUUCACUCUGGUUUGAACAUAUUAUAAAUUCUACUGUUGAAAAGCAUAGAAGCAAGGACUUUAUUGUUGAAGGCAAAGAAAGAGCAGGGAAAAAUUUGGAAGGAUCAAGGAACAAGAACUUCUUGCAGUUACUAUUGGAGCUUCAAGAAAAUGAAGACGGUUCUUCCUCAAUUAGCAUGAACCAAUUUAAGGCCGUACUCGUGGUAUGUUAAGCAACUAGCCGCAAACAGUUAAACAAGCACAGCUGUAUAUUUUGCAUGAGUGAUAUUUUCAACUUUUUUUUUAAUUAGAAUUUUAUUGUAACCUUUUGGACAGGAUAUAAUUACGGGUGGAACCGACACCACAACUACGAUGGUGGAAUGGACAAUGGCAGAGUUGAUACAGCAUCCACAAGUAAUGAAGAAAGUUCAGGAAGAAUUAGCUCAAGUUGUGGGCAUGGACAGUUGUGUUGAAGAAUUUCAUUUGCCUAAACUGAAAUAUUUAGAUGCUGUGGUGAAAGAAUCGUUUCGUCUACAUCCUGCAUUGCCUUUAUUAGUACCACGCAGAGCAAGCGAGAGUGGCAGCAUUGGUGGCUAUACCAUUCCCAAAGAUACAACUCUUAUGUUGAAUGUUUGGGCUAUCCACAGGGACCCUCAACUUUGGGAUAAUCCCUUAGAAUUUCGACCCGAGAGGUUUCUGAAUGUUGGUGUCGAGAGUAAGUUCGAUUACUCAGGUAACAAUUUUCAGUACUUACCAUUUGGUUCUGGUAGAAGGAUGUGUGCUGGGAUUCCUCUAGCUGAGAGGAUGCUGAUGUUUGUUUUGGCUUCGUUAUUGCACUCAUUUGAGUGGGAAUUGCCAGCUGGCACAAAGCUAAACUUAUCUGAAAAAUUUGGGAUUGUUAUUAAGAAAAAAGAGCCUUUGGUUGCUAUUCCAACACCAAGACUAUCCAAUUCAGAGCUUUACCAUUAAGACAGAAUGAUUGUGAUGAUUUUGUUAGUAUCGGAAGAUUUGUAUGUUAUUUCAAGUUCAAACGUAAUAAAAUAUUUUAAUAAAAGUCCUCCGUUGCUAUUUUUUUUUUUCAACGGCAUAAUCUGUCAUCAUGCUUGUGUUUGGAGCUACUUUGGAAUGAUUAUUUUUUAAUUACAAUUUAUAAAUAUUUACAUUUUAAAAUUUUUAUAAGAGUCUAAAUUUAUACAUGUUCAAUAAAAGAUUCCCUAAAAAUUUUACAAUUCAAAAUUCUAUUAAAGUAUAGAUGAAACUUUUAUACCUACUAAUUUUUUGGUCUAUUCUACGAGUUUAAAGAGAAUAUAUUUUUAGAGCUAGCAAAAAGAGGUACUUGAUUGUUUUCGCGUUAUGUCAAUUUUUUUAUUGUGUUAAAUUUAAUUUGACCCACAUAUGACCCAUUUAAUAAUUGUGUCAAAAUAUCAAAAUUUAAACUCGACACGGAAAAUAAAUGGAUGACCAUACACACCCAUUUAAGAAUUAGGUAACUAUGUCACUUAAUACGAUAUAACCCAAUAACUCGUUUAAUACAUAUUUAACUUAAUUUACAUUGUACAUUGUACAACCUUUUAUCAUAAAUUACACUAUUUUAUAUUUCUAAAUAAUAUUAUAUAUUGAUAUUAUAAAAAAAAAUCAAUAAUCUCAAAAUUUGUACACCUCCUAACUUUUGAAAAGAAAUAAUAAAACUAAUUAAUUAAUGUUUAUUUUAUUCAUUAAUAUAUCAUAAUCCUACAUGUAUUUUAUUUGUUAUUUUUUUUUAUUUAAAAAGAUAGGAGGGUGGAUGAAACUCAAAUAAAUUUUUAGCCUAUCCUGAUCUUUCAAGUUUCUUAUUUAGGUGGCCAGCUGAAAAAAAUUACUUGAAAGCUACUCCAUCAAUUUAACAAAUUUUAUUUACUUAAUUAAUGGAGGUGUAGAAAAUAAAAGUAUCUGCAAGUACAUUGCAAUAGUGAAAGCAAUGUACCGGUGUUGGAACAUAACUGAACCCUGGUUACCUAUCACAUAUUUUAAGUUUUAACUUUGGUAGUUCACGGAUCGGUUUCUACUUCCACGAACAAUUAAUGUAGGAAAUGAGUUUUCUUUAUUUUUUAAUGAGUAUUUAUAGACCCCGAUUAAAUAUUGGAAUCUAUCUAUCUAUAUAUAUAUAAAGUUAGGACUUGAGGAGGUGAUGUAGCAUCACCAUUUCUCAUCUUUGUAUAUUCUCUAUUAUCUAAUAAAUAGAGAAAUUUUCUUUUACAUUUAGUUUUUCAUCUUCUCAUAAUUAAUUUGAUUGUCAUUACACAAUAACAAUUAUGUAAAGAUUUUAAUGAGACAUAUUUUUUGUAAUGAACAAGGAGGAGUAUUAUGAAUUUAUUAAAAUAAAUGUAGAUGUUCAUAACAUAUAUCUCUUAGUCUCCUCACUAUCUCUCAUUAGCAACAUUUAGCUUCCCUAUAACUCCCACUAUCUCAUAAGGAAUUAUGAUCCAUAAUUUUUCAUUAAUUUCAUGGAGUGAUUAUGUAACUAUAAAAGAAGAGCUCAUCUUUUUGUUUUGUACACACACAAUUGGAAUGAAUAAAAUCACUCUAUAAUAUAUUCUCUCAUUUUAUUCUUUAUUUUGCGUUGCUUCUUUAUUUGUAUUGCUGGCUAAUAGUUUUUAUUUUUAUUUUUUAUAAGGUUGCCUCAUCUUAAAAAAAAAUCAAUUCAUAUUUUUUAUCAGUUUCAUCAAGUGUAAAGUAAGAAAAAAAUAUAAUACUAAUUUUUUUUUUCAAAUAAAUGUAGAUGUUCAUAACAUAUAUCUCUUAGUCUCCCAACUAUCUCUCAUUAGCAACAUUUAGCUUCCCUAUAACUCCCACUAUCUCAUAAGGAAUUUUGAUCCAUAAUUUUUCAUUAAUUUCAUGGAGUGAUUAUGUAACUAUAAAAUAAGAGCUCAUCUUUUUUGUUUUGUACACACAUAAUUGGAAUAAAUAAAAUCACUCUAUAAUAUAUUCUCUCAUUUUAUUCUUUAUUUGUAUUGCUGGCUAAUAGUUUUUAUUUUUAUUUUUUAUAAGGUUGCCUCAUCUUAAAAAAAAAUCAAUUCAUAUUUUUUAUCAGUUUCAUCAAGUGUAAAGUAAGAAAAAAAUAUAAUACUAAUUUUUUUUUUCAAAUAAAUGUAGAUGUUCAUAACAUAUAUCUCUUAGUCUCCCCACUAUCUCUCAUUAGCAACAUUUAGCUUCCCUAUAACUCCCACUAUCUCAUAAGGAAUUUUGAUCCAUAAUUUUUCAUUAAUUUCAUGGAGUGAUUAUGUAACUAUAAAAUAAGAGCUCAUCUUUUUUGUUUUGUACACACAUAAUUGGAAUAAAUAAAAUCACUCUAUAAUAUAUUCUCUUAUUUUAUUCUUUAUUUUGCGUUGCUUCUUUAUUUGUAUUGCUGGCUAAUAGUUUUUUUUUUUUUUUUUUAUAAGGUUGCCUCAUCUUAAAAAAAAAUCAAUUCAUAUUUUUUAUCAGUUUCAUCAAGUGUAAAGUAAGAAAAAAAUAUAAUACUAAAUUUUUUUUUCAAAGCCGCGUGAAGCGCGGUUCUAUUUUCUAGUAUAUAAUAAAAGAGAAACUGACAUAGAAAUGAGAAAGAUAUUUGGAGGAGGCAAAAAAAAAAAAAAAAAAUGCAACAGAGAAUUAGAUCAGCAACACAAGUAACUAAUUCAUCUAUACAUCAUAAUCCUAUUUGUAUCUUCUUCCUUCUUCUAAUUUACAUAUAAAUUUGGUUAGAUAAAACAUAUUUUAAUACUUGGUCACAAGUGGUGGAUAUAGAAAAGGGUAAUUUUCAGUUUCAUCACCUGAGGUUUGGGGUCCCUUCAGUUAGAUAGAUUCUAUGAGGGUAUCUCCACUUUGCACUCCUACCGUUCGUAUAAUGUUUAGUAUAAGUUUAGUUUACGAGAAUAAAUAAGUAAUUGCAUGAUAAAUUAUUAAAUAUUAAGAUAAUUUUGAAUUUUUACACUCUGCAAACUGGAACCUGUUGAAACAUUGUGGUGCUCGCUAGCCAAUAAUCAAAAAUCAAACGACACCCAUUUUGAAGAAACCCUAAGACAAAAUCAAACGACACCCAUUUCAAGCUUAUUAACUAGAGAGAUUUCGAAGAAACCCUAAGUCAAAAUCAAACGACACCCAUUUCUCAUUCCACUCUCCUCGAACUCGAAUCCCUCUUACAAUCGAUUGAUCCAGACACCCUUUACCGAUUCACCGAUCAACUCUCCUCCAAAAAAACUCUCUUUAUCCUCUCUCAUUCCUCCAAUUUCUUGCGCCAUGGAUGCGGGCCCCACCAAUAUCUCCCUCUUGGCCUCCAAAAUUUACCUUGCAUUGCUUCUCUCCCCGAACUCCCCUGUCUUCACUUUGUUCACUCCCAUGGCGUUCCUCUCCCUUCGCCGCUCCCUCAAGAGUUUUAAGCGCGUGUCUGAUAGCGGGUCCCACUCUAGUGUUAACCACAAAAGAAAAGGUGGUGGCAGGCGGGUUCAGCGGGCGAAUGAAUUUAACGAGGAUGAGAGCGAGGGUGGAUUUGAUGCUAGGAGUUUGUGUUUGGUUGUUGAGAAGUUGGAAUUUGUUGUGGGGUUGGUUUAUUUGAAUAGAUUUCUAGAUUGUUUGAAGUCUUUGAUACAGACUGUUGUUGAGAUUCUGGUCUCUUUGCUUGAAUUGGGAGGUUAUGAGAAAUUGAAUGUUUGUUUUCAGGGAUUUUGAUUAAGUUGUUGAGGGGGGAGCAUGGUGAUGUGAUGAGUACAACUGCAUAGGUUUUGAAGUCAUUAGUGCCAUUGAUUUUGAUGGGCAAAUGUCAAGCGAGGAGUUUUGCAUUAGGAUUUUUGAUGAAUGGAGUGAUGGGUGUGGCUAAAGAGAUCGACGGGGUCAAGAAGGCAGUUGUGAAUUUGCCGAAGUACUUGGUGAACAAGGCCCUGGAGAAGGCCGAGCUGAGGGGAUUAGCUGUGGAGGCAAUUAUGGAGAUUGUUAAAGCAAUGGAGGUUGAGGAUCAAAUGGGGUUUGUUGAAUAUACUGUUAAAGCUGACUAAAGGGAAGGCUAAUCUUAGCCUAGUUGCAGUUGAUCUGAUAUUAAUGCUAAUGACGUCGAUGAGAGAUCCAUUGAAUCUCUCGUUUACGACAUUCAGUUUAGUUAAUAAGCUUGAAAAAAAAAAAAAAGGGGCUCCAGUUGGUUAUUAAAAUAGUUUUAUUGAUGCAAGGGUGUUUUAGUCAUUUAAUCAGUCAAUUAACAGUCAAAUAAAUGUUAUCCUAACGGUAGGGGUGUAAAGUGGAGAUACACUCAUACAAUCUAUCAAAGUGAAAGGACCCCAAAUCUCAGGGGAGGAAACCGAAAAUUACCCAUAUAGAAAAUUAAUUUAGAGGGGGUAAUACCGUAACGAAAAAUAAUGAUUCAUAAUUAAAAUCAACCCCAACAUCAAAACUUAUUUACAAGAUCACCCCCAGUCAAAGGUAAUUUUUCCUAAAAACUAAUACGAAAUUAAAUAAAUUUAACUUUUAGUGGGUUCAAUUGCCCACGCAUUCUGAACGUAGAUCCACCCCUGGCCCCGACUGAAGCAUUUUUUACAAUAUGUACUCUGUUUAUCAGCAGGAACAACCUUCCACUUUAAAUUAAAAUUUUCACUUAAAAAUGAUUAAGGUUAAUGAGGUUAGUAACAAAAAUGAGUUUAAUUAGAGAAUAUUAUAAGAGAAAUUCUAUUUUUUGACUUUUAAUAAAUUAAAAUAUAUUAAAAUAUUAUUAAUUGGUGGUGGUUUCACAUCAAAUUAAGACAUGACACCUAAUUUAUGAGGUGGAGACAAUCGGCUUAAACUAUUUUAAUGCAUUUAAAAUUUGUACUAAUGACUAUCAUUCUUUGUCCUAAUUAAUACGAUAAUUAAUAACAUACAAUUGAAAUAAUUAAUAUUAGCACUUGGCAAUAAAUAAAGCUCUUGUGCUUGAAUCGGCGCACAUGAUCAUUUCAUUCCUUUAUUUACUUUGCUACCACAGAUUUUGAGGCAUUAAAACUAAAUAAUAAUUGAAUAUGGCUUUGUGCGUCGAUGACGCCAGCAACAAGGGGACCGCAAUUAUCACUUUUUAAGUUGCUACUAAAAUUGAUUUUAGUAGUGAUAUGAUUAUUGCAGUGUUUUUAUUUUUUAUAAUAAAAUUAAGUCGAUUUGUUAUAAUAAACUUAGUUGAGUUUAAUGGUAUUAUUACAGAAAUUAAAGUCAUUAAAUAUUUUAAUAUUUUUAUCGUAAGCAUUGACAUGGUAUUUAUUUAUUUAUUGUAUGAUGGAUUUUAAAAUUUAUAAAAUUAUUUGUUAUUAAAUUACCCCCAGAUGCUACAUCACCUGAAACUUAAUAAAGGGAACGUAGCAUUGCCAUUACUCAACAUUCACUCUUAUGACUUUAUGACAUUAGAAUUAAAAUCUUUCGUACAUUUAAUUUGUUUGCUUCCAAAUUAAUCUUUAAUAAAUAUUUUUUUCACAUUAUCAUCAAUGGAAAAAACUCCAACGAAAAUAACUACACAAGAACAAUCUAUGCUAGUAUUAUAUGCCACGAUAUCUAUAACUUUGUCAGGAUCGAUCAUUCUAAUUUUUACGCAGAACUUUUUGUCAAUCGACAAACACCUCACAGAGCUUGUCACUUGUCAGCCGCAUUAUUACGAUGUAAAAUUGUACCGGAAUAUCUUGAAUUAUUAGUAGAAUAACGAAGACUAUUUGGAGCAAUAAAAGAAUCCAGCUGUGGUGCCACAAUUAUAUGGUACCACAGCUGGAUCUAACCAUUAAAUUUAGCUCUGGUGACAAUUGUGGGUUAGAUCCAAUGGUUGGAUCCAUCUGUGGUACCAUACAACAGUGGUACCACAGAUUUGUCCGCAAUAAAAACAAAUAACGCAGAUGAAAACAAUGGCUAAAAUUAUGUAAGUGAGCCCCAAAGUUUUUGCUAUUUCCAGGAAAUCCCAAAUUUGAUUGGACUAGAGGGAGGCAGGUAAGAAAUACAUUUUCUUCCUAGACAAUGACAGCUAUGACAUCAAGCCACUGCUAUUAUUAAUUAUCCCCUGGUCAUUACAGUUUGUUAAUAUUCAUUCUGAAACAGUAAAACAAAAACGAAAUUGAAUACAUCAACGAGACCGCAAUUAUCACUUGUUUAGUUGCGGUAUUUAACUUAAUUUUAAUCUAAUAUAUUUGUUAGUUAAACUUUUAAUAAUCAAAUAAUUUUGAUUUAAAAAUAAAGUUAUAGAAAUUAAUAAUUAUUAAAAAUUCACAAUUAAGGGAACGUUCAUCAAACACACAUAGCUAUUGUUUUCUCUAUAUAUUGCAGUGUGUACGAUAUUGAGGGUUGAAGUCCCAAGCAUGCUCUAAAAUCCAGAUAAUAUUUAGAUCCAAGCAAACUAGAGUAGUGAUUUAAUGAAAAUCAUAUGUAUUGAAAAAAAAUGAAAAGAGGUCAUAAACUAGAACAAAAAUAUAAUCAUAUUCAAGUAAACUUAAUAGAUAAACCCUAAGUUCGUGCACGAGAGUUGAACUCUAUGAAUUUUACUCAAUAAUUUGAUGCAUACAAAAUAUAUACGAGUUUAUGAGUGACGUAUAAGUACUAAAAGAGUUAAGUAAUAAGUAAAUAAAAUAAACCAAGUGGCAUGACAUUGAUUCAAUAUUAUUGUAUCAAUAUUUAUGAAAGAAAUUGUAUUAAAAUUAAAUUGUAUGUUGAGUAUUGAUCUUGUCGUCUCAUUAUGUUUAGAUAUCUUAAUAUUAAAUCGAUAUAUGUUGUAUCGUUGGUUGAUUAAAUGUCAUAUCAUUUAAAGUAUAUCCUUAACUAACUGAAUUAAUAGCAUAAAUAAUUUAUUUCAAGAAGUCUUUGACCAGGUAAUGUAAAUGAGAUUUGCAGCUUUGAGAAGAAACAUAAUAUUUCAAACGUAGAAUAUUAAAACGUAACUAUCAUAUUAUCAUUCUUGUUUUUUAAAUCUGAAUAAUUGAGAAUGCAAUUUUAGAAGUCAACUUUAAUGAGAUCGCAUACCAAUUCCAAUAUUUAAUCAAAUCUUGACCGUCCCUCAAUCAAUCAACGGUGCGAAACAAUUAGUGAAUCCACAUAUGAGCCAUGAUUAGUUGGUGGUGAUGAAGGCUGUUAUUGGCGGAGCUCAAAGUUAUUAUGUGCAUGUUGGGUGGAUAUCUCUAUUGAAAAUAUCUCUGAUAUUUCACUCGACAAACUUGUUAAUAUAAAAAAUCUAUGGUUUUGCCGUCUGUAAACUGUAGAAAAAAUUGACUCUACGUUAAUCUAAAUGUUUGAGGUGAUUAGAAAUUACCGACUAUAAAGGGGAAUAAUUUAUAGGUUGAUUGAUACAUCUCUAUUGAAAAUAUCUCUGACAUUUCACUCGACAAACUCAUUAAUAUAAAAAAUCUAUGGUUUUGCCAUCUGUAUACUGUAGAAAAAUUUGUCUAUACAUUAAUCUAGAUGUUGGAGGUGGUUAAUAUUUUAUGUAUUUCAUUAUCAAAUGCUGGCCGUUGGGACCCUAUCUACAUCUAUUAAUAAGAUUAACAGGUGCCAGACUAGGCCAUUACAAAUUAUCCCCUCAUCAGAUAUUUCGUUAAAAUUCAUUCUGAAACACUAAAACUAAAUAAUUGAAUAUGGCUUUGCGGGUCGAUGAUGCCAGCAGCAAUGAGACUGCAAUUAUCACUUGUUUAGUUUCUGUGCUUGCCGUGGUUUACUUCGCAUGGAAUGUGAAAAAAUCAAGGAAAGCAAAUGCUAAACUUCCACCAGGACCUCGCGGCUUGCCUGUAGUCGGAUACCUCCCAUUUCUCGGAACUACUGACUUGCACAAGAAAUUCACGGAAUUAUCCGGAGUUUAUGGUCCGAUCUUCAAGCUCUGGCUCGGAAACAAAUUAUGUGUCGUGGCGAGCUCACCUUCCCUAGUUAAACAAGUGGUUCGAGAUCAAGAUACAACAUUCGCCAACCGUGACCCGCCGAUCGCUGUACUAGCGUUCACCUAUGGUGGCAAUGAUAUUGCAUGGUCCAAUUACGGUCCCGAAUGGAGAAAUUUGCGCAAAGCUUUUGUGGGCAAGAUGAUGAGUAACGCAAGCCUUGAUGCUUGUUAUGCUCUAAGAAAACAAGAGGUUAAAAAUACUAUCAGGGAUUUGUACAACAACGACAACAAAAUUGGUAAGCCCAUCGACAUUGGUGAAUUGUCAAUUUCAACCUUGGUAUGUGUUAUUCAGAACAUGCUGUGGGGUGAAGCGCUUGAAACAAGAGAGGAAGGGAUCACUAAUCUUGGGGCUGAGCUAAAAUUUAAGCUGGCAGAACUCAUGGUCCUAAUGGGAACACCGAAUAUUUCGGACGUCUUUCCAGUGCUUUCAUGGUUUGAUAUACAAGGUAUAGAGAGGAAAGCAAAGAAGAUUUCACUCUGGUUUGAAAAUAUUAUAAAUUCUACUGUUGAAAAGUAUAGAAGCAAGGACUUUAUUGUUGAAGGUAAAGAAAGAGCAGGGGAAAAUUUUGAAGGAUCAAGGAACAAGAACUUCUUGCAGUUACUAUUGGAGCUUCAAGAAAAUGAAGACGGUUCUUCCUCAAUUAGCAUGAACCAAUUUAAGGGCGUGCUCGCGGUAUGUUAAGCAACUAGCCACGAACAGUUAUACAAGCACAGUUGUAUAUUUGCAUGAGUGACGCUUCUCAACUUUUUUUAAUUUUUUAAAUUAAAGUUUUAUUGUAAUCUUUUGAACAGGAUAUAAUUACGGGUGGAACCGACACCACAACUACGAUGGUGGAAUGGACAAUGGCAGAGUUGAUGCAGCAUCCACAAGUAAUGAAGAAAGUUCAGGAAGAAUUAGCUCAAGUUGUGGGCAUGGACAGUUGUGUUGAAGAAUUUCAUUUGCCUAAACUGAAAUAUUUAGAUGCUGUGGUGAAAGAAUCGUUUCGUCUGCAUCCUGCAGUGCCUUUAUUAGUACCACGCAGAGCAAGCGAGAGUGGCAGCAUUGGUGGCUAUACCAUUCCCAAAGAUACAACUCUUAUGUUGAAUGUUUGGGCUAUCCACAGGGACCCUCAACUUUGGGAUAAUCCCUUAGAAUUUCGACCCGAGAGGUUUCUGAAUGUUGGUGUCGAGAGUAAGUUCGAUUACUCAGGUAACAAUUUUCAGUACUUACCUUUUGGUUCUGGUAGAAGAAUGUGUGCUGGGAUUCCUCUAGCUGAGAGGAUGCUGAUGUUUGUUUUGGCUUCGUUAUUGCACUCAUUUGAGUGGGAAUUGCCAGCUGGCACAAAGCUAAAUUUAUCUGAAAAAUUUGGGUUUGUCAUUAAGAAAAAAGAGCCUUUGGUUGCUAUUCCAACACCAAGACUAUCCAAUUCAGAGCUUUACCAUUAAAACAGAAUGAUUGUGAUGAUUUUGUUAGUAUCGGAAGAUUUGUAUGUUAUUUCAAGUUCAAUCGUAAUAAAAUAUUUUAAUAAAAGUCCUCCGUUGCUAAUUUUUUUUUUCAACGGCAUAAUCUGUCAUCAUGCUUGUGUUUGGAGCUACUUUGGAAUGAUUAUUUUUGAAUUACAAUUUAUAAAUAUUUAGGUUUUAAAUUUUUUAUAAGAGUCUAAAUUUAUACACGUUCAGUAAAAGAUUCCCUAAAAGCUUUACAAUUCAAAAUUCUAUUAAAAGUAUAGAUGAAACUUUUAUACCUACUAAUUUUUUGGUCUAUUCUACAAGUUUAAAGAGGAGAUAUUUCUAGAGCUAGCAAAAAGAGCUACCUGAUUGUUUUCGCGUUAUGUCAAUUUUUUUAUUGUGUUAAAUUUAAUUUGACCCACAUAUGACCCAUUUAAUAAUCGUGUCAAAAUAUUGAAACUUGAACUUGAUACGGAAAAUAAAUGGAUGACCACACACACCCAUUUAAGAAUUAGGUAACUAUGUCACUUAAUACGACAUAACCCAAUAACUCGUUUAAUACAUAUUUAACAUAAUUUACAUUGUACAUUGUACACCCUUUUGUCAUAAAUUACACUAUUUUAUAUUUCUAAAUAAUAUUAUAUAUUGAUAUUAUAAAAAAAUAUCAAUAAUCUCAAAAUUUGUACACCUCCUAACUUUUAAAAAGAAAUAAAAAAACUAAUUAAUUAAUGUUUAUUUUAUUCAUUAAUAUAUCAUAAUCCUACAUGUAUUUUAUUUGUUAUUUUUUUUAUUUAAAAAGAUAGGAGGGUGGAUGAAACUCAAAUAAAUUUUUAGCCUAUCCUGAUCUUUCAAGUUUCUUAUUUAGGAGGCCAGUUAAAAAAAAUUACUUAGAAAGCUACUCCAUCAAUUUAACAAAUUUUAUUUAUUUAAUUAAUGGAGGUGUAGAAAAUAAAAGUAUCUGCAAGCACAUUGCAAUAGUGAAAGCAAUGUACCGGUGUUGCAACAUAACUGAAUCUUGAUAACCUAUCACAUAUUUUAAGUUUUAAUAUUGGUAGUUCACGGAUCGGUUUCUACUUCCACGAACAAUUAUUGAAGGAAAUGAGUUUUUUUUUUAAUGAAUAUUUAUAGACCCCGAUUAAAUAUUCGAAUAUAUAAUAAAAGAGAAACUGACAUAGAAAUGAGAAAGAUAUUUGGAGGAGGCCAAAAAAAAAAAAAAAAAUGCAACAGAGAAUUAGAUCAGCAACACAAGUAACUAAUUAAUUCAUCUAUACAUCAUAAUCCUAUUUGUAUCUUCUUCCUUCUACUAAUUUACAUAUAAAUUUGGUUAGAUAAAACAUAUUUUAAUACUCGGUCACAAGCGGUGGAUAUAGAAAAUUAAUUUAGAGGGGGUAAUACCAUAACGAAAAAUAAUGAUUCAUAACUAAAAUCAACCCCAACAUCAAAACUUAUUUACAAGAUUACGCCCAGUCAAAGGUAAUUUUUCCUAAAAACUAAUACGAAAUUAAAUAAAUUUAACUUUUAGUGGGUUCAAGUGCCCACGCAUUCUGAACGUAGAUCCACCCCUGGCCCCGACUGAAGCAUUUUUUACAAUAUGUACUCAGUUUAUCAACAGGAACAACCUUCCACUUUAAAUUAAAAUUUUCACUUAAAAAUGAUUAAUGUUAAUGAGGUUAGCAACAAAAAUGAGUUUAAUUAGAGAAUAUUAUAAGAGAAAUUAUAUUUUUUGACUUUUAAUAAAUUAAAAUAUUAUUAGUUGGUGGUGGUUUCACGUCAGAUUAAGACGUGACACUUUACUUAUGAGGUCGAGACAAUCGACUUAAACUAUUUCAAUGCAUUUGAAAUUUGCACUAAUGGCUAUCAUUCUUUGUCCAAAUUAAUACGAUAAUUAAUAACAUACAAUUGAAAUAAUUAAUACUAGCACUUGGCAAUAAAUAAAGCUCUUGUGCUUGAAUCGUCACACAUGAUCACUUCAUUCCUUUAUUUACUUUGCUACCACAAAUUUUGAGGCAUUAUAACUAAAUAAUAAUUGAAUAGGGCUUUGUGUUACUUGUUGUGCGCGCGGAAUGCGGAAUCAAGCACACCAAAUUAUUACAGAAAAAUAAAGGACACAAUUAUUUGACGUGGUUCGGUAAUUAAACUUACAUCCACGGAGGCAAGAAAGAAUAAUUGUUUAUUUAACAAUUAAUAGAGUACAAAUAUUUGAGUAACGAAUCUCACUUCUCAGAAACCUAAAUAUACCCAAUACUCUCACACUCUGCAGGAAAGAUAAAUUAUCCAAACACACUUCUCUCACUUCUCUAAAAAACUUAAAAAUUUAAAAACUUAACAAUUUUGGAAUGCUUUAGAAUAGAAGAAGUGCCAUCUUAUAGGAAAAAUAAUGAUACUAUUGCACCAACCUCUUUACUAUUCCACCUAACAUAAGCAAAUUGUCAAUAGUGUCCAUUUAACUUUUUAUUUUUUUUCUUCAAUUGUUUAGUAGCCCUUUAAAAAUCUGCGUGGUUUCUUGAAAUUUAGAUGCCACAUGCAUGACUUUUCAACACUAAUUACUACGAUAAUUAAUAUUAGCACUUGGCAAUAAAUAAAGCUCUUGUGCUUGAAUCGUCACACACGAUCACUUCAUUCCUUUAUUUGCUUUGCUACCACAGAUUUUGAGGCAUUAAAACUAAAUAAUAAUUGAAUAUGGCUUUGUGCGUCGAUGACGCCAGCAACAAGGGGACCACAAUUAUCACUUUUUAAGUUGCUUUUAAAAUUGAUUUUAAUAGUGAUUUGAUUAUUGUAGUGUUUUUAUUUUUAUAUUAAAAUUAAGUCGAUUUGUUAUAAUAAACUUAGUUGAGUUUAAUGGUAUUACUACAUAAAUUGAAUAGUCAUCAAAUAUUUUAAUGUUUUUAUGGCAAGUGUUGACGUGGCAUUUAUUUGUUGUAUGAUGGAUUUUAAAAUUUAUAAAAUUAUUUGUUAUUAAAUUACCCCCAGAUGCUGCAUCACCUGAAACUUAAUAAAGGGCAUGUAGCAUUGCCAUUACUCAACAUUCACUCUUAUGACUUUAUGACAUUAGAAUUAAAAUCUUUCGUACAUUUAAUUUGUUUGCUUCCAGAUUAAUCUUUAAAAAUAUUUUUUUCACAUUAUCAUGAAUGGACAAAACUCCAACGAAAAUAACUACGCAAGAGCAAUCUAUGCUAGUAUUAUAUGCCACGAUAUCUAUAACUUUGUCAGGUCUCAGGAUCGAUCAUUCUAAUUUUUACGCAGAACUUUUAAUCAAUGGACAAACACCUCACCGAGCUUGUCGGCAGCAUUACUACGAUGUAAAAUUGUACCGGAAUAUCUUGAAGUAUUAGUAGAAUAAUGAAGACUAUUUGGAGCAAUAAAAACAAAUAACGCAGAUAAAAAAAAUGGCUAAAAUUAUGUAAGUGAGCCCCAAAGUUUUUGCUAUUUCCAGGAAAUCCCAAAUUUGAAUGGACUAGAGGGAGGCACGUAAGAAAUACAUUUUCUUCCUAGACAAUGACAGCUAUGACAUCAAGCCACGUAUUGAAAUUAAGGUGUAAUUAUUCAGCCAAUGAGCCUUACACACCAAGAUGUAUAAAAGUCAAGAAAAUGAAAUUUUAUCCCAAUUAAAACACUUUCUGGCUGCAAUUGGCUGUUUCCAUUUGAAGUUAAAAAACAACAACGUUUCUUUCGUUUUGUGGGCGAUUCGAUUGAGCACGCGCCACGAGCUAGCUGGCUUCCAGUGCUUGCGUGUGACAAUAGAAGGCUAGUGAUUUCACUUUCGCUUUUUUUUUUUUUUCUUUUUUUUGGGGAAUCAAGAUAAAAGCCAAGAAAAUGAAAAUUGGGCUGUUUCCAUUUGAAGUUAAAAACAGUGUUUCUUUCGGGGCGUCAAUUUGAUAUUUGAAUGGACAGGCAAGUAAGAAAUACAAUUCCUUCAUAGACAAUGACAACGAGGACAUCAAGGCACAUCAUUAUAGUUUGUAGCCCAUCUACAUUUAAACGAUUAAUAAACAAGCUUAGGUGUGCCACUGCUAUUAUUAAUUAUCCCCUGAUCAUUAUAGUUUCUGAAACAGUAAAACAAAACGAAAUUGAAUACAUCAACGAGAUCGCAAUUAUCACUUGUUUAGUUGCGGUAUUUAACUUAAUUUUAAUCUAAUAUAUUUGUUAGUUAAACUUUUAAUAAUCAAAUAAUUUUGACUUAAAAAUAAAAUUAUAGAAAUUAUUAAUUAUUAAAAAUUCACACAUAGCUAUUGUUUUCUCUAUAUAUUGCAGUGUGUACGAUAUUGAGGGUUGAAGCCCAAAGCAUGCCCUAAAAUCCAGAUAAUAAUUAGAUCCGGGCCAAAUAUUCAUCAUUGUGUCGGCUGAUCAGUCGGUGGACAUCUCUAUUGAAAAAAUCUCUGACAUUUCUCUCGACAAACUUAUUACUAAAAAAAAAUCAGUGGUUUUGCCGUCUGAAUAAUGUAGAAAAAUUUGUCUGUGCAUUAAUCUAGAUGUUUGAGGUGAUUUAUACAUCUGUGAUAAAGAUUUAUAGGUUGACUUAUACGUCUGUGGUAUAGAUUUUAUGUAUUUCAUUACAAAAUGCUGGCCGUUAGAACCCUUUCUACAUCUAUUUAUAAGAUUAACGGGUGCCAGUUAUGCCAUUACAAAUUAUCCCCUCAUCAGAUAUUUCGUUAAAAUUCAUUCUGAAACACUAAAACUAAAUAAUCGAACAUGGCUUUGCGGGUCGAUGAUGCCAGAAGCAAUUCGACUGCAAUUAUCACUUGUUUAGUUUCUGUGCUUGCCGUGGUUUACUUGGCAUGGAAUGUGAAAAAAUCAAGGAAAGCAAAUGCUAAACUGCCACCAGGACCUCCCGGCUUGCCUGUAGUCGGAUACCUCCCAUUUCUCGGAACUACUGACUUGCACAAGAAAUUCACGGAAUUAUCCGGAGUUUACGGUCCGAUCUUCAAGCUCUGGCUCGGAAAUAAAUUAUGUGUAGUGGUGAGCUCACCUUCCCUAAUUAGACAAGUGGUUCGUGAUCAAGAUACAACAUUCGCGAACCGUGACCCACCGAAGGCUGCACUAGUGGUCUCCUAUGGUGGCAAUGAUAUUGCAUGGUCCAAUUACGGUCCCGAAUGGAGAAAGUUGCGCAAAUUUUUUGUGGGCAAGAUGAUGAGUAACGCAAGCCUUGAUGCUUGUUAUGCUCUAAGAAAACAAGAGGUUAAAAAUACUAUCAGGGAUUUGUAUAACAACGACAACAAAAUUGGCAAGCCCAUUGACAUUGGUGAAUUGUCGUUUUCAACAUUGGUAUGUGCUAUACAGAACAUGCUGUGGGGUGAAGCGCUUGAAAUAAGAGAGAAAGGGACCACUAAUCUUGGGGCUGGGCUAAAAUUUAAGCUGGCAGAACUCAUGGUGCUUGCGGGAACACCGAAUAUUUCGGAUGUCUUUCCAAUGCUUUCAUGGCUUGACAUACAAGGUAUAGAGAGGAGAGCAAAGAAGAUUUCACUCUGGCUUGAAAAUGUUAUAAAUUCUACUGUUGAACAGCAUAGAAACAAGGAGUCAACUGUUGAAGGUGAAGAAAGAGCGGGGAAAAAUUUUGAAGGAUCAAGGAACAAGAACUUCUUGCAGUUACUAUUGGAGCUUCAAGAAAAUGAUGACAGUGCUUCCUCAAUUAGCAUGAACCAAUUCAAGGCCGUACUCAUGGUAUGUUAAGUAACUAGCAACGAACAGUUAUACAAGCACAGUUGUAUAUUUGCAUGAGUGAUAUUUUCAACCUUUUUUUUUAAUUAGAAUUUUAUUGUCACCUUUUGGACAGGAUAUAAUUACGGCUGGAACCGACACCACAGCUACGAUGGUGGAAUGGACAAUGGCAGAGUUGAUGCAGCAUCCACAAGUAAUGAAGAACGUUCAGGAAGAAUUAGCUCAAGUUGUGGGCAUGGACAGUUGUGUUGAAGAAUUUCACCUGUCUAGAUUAAAGUAUUUAGAUGCUGUGGUGAAGGAAACAUUUCGUCUGCAUCCUGCAGUGCCUUUAUUAGUACCACGCAGAGCAAGCGAGAGUGGCAGCAUUGGUGGCUAUACCAUUCCCAAAGAUACAACUCUUAUGUUGAAUGUUUGGGCUAUCCACAGGGACCCUCACCUUUGGGAUAAUCCCUUAGAAUUUCGACCCGAGAGGUUUCUGAAUGUUGGUGUCGAGAGUAAGUUCGAUUACUCAGGUAACAAUUUUCAGUACUUGCCAUUUGGUUCUGGUAGAAGAAUGUGUGCUGGGAUUCCUCUAGCUGAGAGGAUGCUGAUGUUUGUUUUGGCUUCGUUAUUGCACUCAUUUGAGUGGGAAUUGCCAGCUGGCACAAAGCUAAACUUAUCUGAAAAAUUUGGGAUUGUCAUUAAGAAAAAAGAGCCUUUGGUUGCUAUUCCAACACCAAGACUAUCCAAUUCAGAGCUCUACCAUUAAGACAAAAUGGUUGUGAUGAUUUUGUUAAUUUUCCGAAGAUUUGUAUGUUAUUUAGUUCAAUCGUAAUAAAAUAUUUCAAAUAAGAGUCCUCCGUUGCUUUUUUUUUUUUUUUUUUUUCAACGGCAUAAUCUGUCGUCAUGCUUGUAUUUGGAGCUACUUUGGAAUAAUUAUGUUUGAAUUACAAUUUAUAAAUAUUUACGUUUUAAAUUUUUUAUAAGAGUCUAAAUUUAUACACGUUUAAUAUCCCGCUUCAUAGAUAUUUAACACAAUUUAUAUCAUACAUUGUAUACCCAUUUGUCAUAAAUUAUACUAUUUUGUAUCUCUAAAUAAUAUUACGUAUUGAUAUUAUAAUAUAUAUAUAUAUGUUUAUCAAAAGACUAUACCAUUCAAUAUAUAUUGAAAAGAGAACAAAGAAGAUUUUCUUAUGGUUUAAAAAUAUUAUGAAUUCUGCUGUUGAACAGUAUGGAAACAAGGUCUCUGUUGUUAAAGGUGAAGAAGCAACAGGGAACAAUAUUGAAGGAAGAAAUUUCACAUGUUUAGUUGCUGAAUUUGCCGCUGUAUUCUAUCGGUAGUAGAGUUUUUAUUUUUCUCUAUUAAUUUAAGUCAAUUUUCUAUAACAAAUUCGGUUGAGUUUAAUUGUGUUAUAAUAUAAAUUGAAUGAUAAUAGAAUUUUCAACAAAUAUUUCAAUAUUUCUAUCUCGAUUGUUGAAGUGCCAUUUAUUUGUUAUGCGAUCGAUUUUAAAAUUUAUAAAAUUAUUUGUUACUAAAUUGCAUCAUAUGCUAAAAUCACCUGAAACCUAAUUCCAUAACUAACCCUUUAUUUUUAGUUCUCAAGAAAUCUUGUAAGAACAAAAAUCUUUUAUAACAAAACUUUUACAACACAUUAAUUUGUAACUCAUUCCUGUGCGCGAAUCACUCUCAAUUUCCUUCAAUUGCUGUUUAACAAUCAUCUACUUAUCAAAAUUCAAGCAUAAUCUUUUUUUUUUAAUUUCUUCAUCAUUCUUUAAAAAAAAAAUCAGGAUAUGCUGUUAAAUUUUGAAAUAAAUAAAUUAACCAAAGUUGGUUGAUGUGAGUGGUUCAAUGAUGAGCAUAAUUUAUAUACAUAUUUUACCUUUAAUUAUAUAAUUAUUAGUUAUUUUUAUUAGUUAUUUUUAAUUAAUUGAAUUAUUUUAUUGCAUAGAGAAUUAAUUGGAGAUUGGGAAACAAAAAGUGCAUAAAGAAUAACAAGUUUGGGAAAGCAUCAAUCAAAGCCGUGACGCAAUUAAGAGUUUAUAGCAUAUGAAGCCAAGAGUAAUUUGCACUCAAAAAGAAUUUCAAUUAUUCAAGUGACCUGGACCUGCAUGGCAUUGUAAUGCAUGGAAAGCAACUUAAAGGGGCCCACACUUGGCUUUUACAAUUGGAAAAAGGAAUCCUAGUGCAAGCUUAAUUGAUGAGCACGUGAGUGAGAGCAAAGAAAAUUAAAAGGCCAAGCCUUUUGGCUUAAGGAAAUAACAAGGUCGGUGGGGCCCAUUUUAAAGAGUAAUAUAAAAGCAAGCUUUUGGCUUUUGGAGAGAGGAGCCGCGAGAGGAGGAAAACGCAAGACAAAGAGAAGAAAAUCUGCAGCAGUUCGGCUUCUAUGGUUGGUUUUAUCUCUUUUGUUACUCUUAAUUCAAAUAUGUCUAGUUAAUUUUCUUAUAUUAAAGUUAAGGAUGAAACCCUAUUCAAUGAAAUAAUUAUCUUUUUAUUUAUUUAAUUCCCAUAUAUGUUCUUUAAUGAUUAUGAUUUUUAUUUCACAUGAUUAAUUGGAUGUUAUUAAAAUUUUUUCAUCAAUUCUGUCAUGCAUUAUUGAUUGUUAGGAUUAAUAUUCAAUUAAAUCUAUACUUAGAUUUAUAACGUUUAUACAUGAUUAUCUUUGAUUCUAUGUCUUUCAUUAAAUUGUUUACAUGGAGUGCUUAGGAAAACUUUGACUCUUUGUUAUUCAAUAUGUUCACAUGGGAUACUUAGAUGUCAUACUAUUAAGCGGAAAAAGAACCUAUAUUAGAUUUAAUUAUUUGGGCUUAAUUGUUAUAUCCAUGAGAUGACACAAAUUGAUUUCGAGUUGUCACUCUAAAAUUAGAGAUUAAUGAAUAUUUAGAUAAUUACUAGUUGAAUAGCGGUGGAUUCUGAAACCUUGGUAAUUUCUAUCUUAUUGAAUUCUCCUUUACUUUAAUUGUUUUCUUAGUUUAAUUAAUUUAAUUUCUUUUAAAACUCAAUUUGCUUAACUAGGUUAGAAUUAAUAUUAAUUUUAGAUUUAAAUUAGACUUUUCAAUUUAUAACAAUCCAUGUGGGAUCGACCUCGUUACCACUACUUUAUUUCUAGAUUCGUGCACUUGCGAGUAUAUUAAAAUUUUCACAACAAGUUUUUGGCGCCGUUGCCGGGGAUUGUGCCAGAAAGUCAGUUUAAUCUAGGUUGAUUUGAUUCUUCCACUAGUUAUAAUUUAUGUUGUCUUUUAUUUUAUUAUUAUUUUUAAUUAACAAAAACACACAAAAAAACUUUUAUUUUUCUUUAAAUUCAUUGUUUGGUUGUUUGAUUUCUUUUAUUUUUUAAAUUUUGUUUAUUCUCAUUAUUGUUGGUUUAUUUUAUUUUAUUUUUUUCUUUCCUUGUCUAGUUAGUUUAUGAGUGUUUGGGAAUGUGAUUCAACAAAUCGUUUGGUAAAAGAGAGUCAAAAAUUGAUAGUAGUCAAGUUAGUUCUUCUGAAGUCAUGGAUGACCCAAAUAGAUUAUUGCCAAUACUUCCACCAGUGCAAGCAGAGAAAACCCUUAGAGAAUAUUUUUCACCACUUGCAGCCAACCAACCAUCUUGUAUUGUGUUGCCACAAACUACAGCAACACACUUUGAACUUUUUGAACUUAAGCCCUCAGUCAUCCAACUUUUACCAUCUUUCCAUGGGUUAGAGAGAGAGGAUCCAUAUUUGCACAUUAAGGAAUUUCUUGACAUAUGCUCUACAUUCCGUUUUCAAAAUUUUAAUGAUGAGUUAAUCAGGCUUCGUAUGUUAUCUUUCUCAUUAAAAGACAAAGCAAAAGCUUGGUUGAAUUCGCUUUCUGCUGGGUCUAUAACUACGUGGGAUGAAUUGAAUAAUAAGUUCCUCACCAAGUUUUUCCCUAUGUCUAAAACAAAUGCCCUUAGGAGAGAGAUAAGUGAUUUCUAUUAAAGAGAGGGUGAGCAAUUUUAUGAGUGUUGGGAAAGAUUCAAUGAUUUACUCCUCAAGUGCCCCCACCAUGGUUUUGAGAAAUGGAGACUUAUACAAUGCUUUUAUAACGGUUUAACCAUGUCGAAUCGUCAUAUGGUAGAGUCUAUGAAUGGUGGGAGAUUUUUGAACCUACAUGAAGGGGCUGCAUGGGAUUUCUUUAAUUCACUUUCUGAGAAUUCUCAACAGUGAGAUUUUUCAAGCCAAAGGGAAAAAUCAUCUCAAGUUUCUAGAAAGGGGUUAUAUGAAGUUAAGGAUGAUUUUGAUGUGAAAUCCACUCUAAUUACACUUUCUAGAAAAGUAGAUGCCUUAGCUCUGAACCAAUCAAUGAAUCAUCAUCCUAGUGUAGCUAAUGAGGUUUGUGCUAUUUGUUCUAACUUGUCUCAAACAGCACAAAACUGUCCAUCAUUACCAGUCUAUCCAGAGGCUUAUUCUGAGCAGGUACAUGCCUUACAAUCAUAUGAGAAAACCUCCAAUAAUACAUAUUCACUCACAUAUAAUCCUAAUUGGAGGAAUCACCCUAAUUUUUCUUGGAAACAAAAUCAAUCUUUGUCAAACCAAGGAGGACAACAAUUUAACAUGCCCAAUCAACAAUUUGUCCCUCCUAACCAAGUAUAUCCUCCUGCCCAACAACCUAUAUCUCAAUUUGUUACACCCCAACAAAGAAAACCUUCUUUAGAGGAUACACUUCAAAGUUUCAUUCAGUCAACCUAAUAAGCUUUUCAGUCAAACACUCAAGCUAUUCUAAAGCUUGAACAUCAAUUGGGUCAAUUAGCAACUACUGUAGCGGAGAAAGAAAAAAGAAAAUUCCCCAGUCAAUCAAUUCCUAAUCCUAAAGGAGUGCAUGAAGUUGGAUCGAGUUCAAGCCAUCAGCAUGAAGAAGCAAAAUCAAUUAUGACCUUGAGAAGAGGAAAAUUGUUUGACAACAAAGUGGAGGUUCAAACAAAGAAGACAUCUGAGCCUACUUCUUCAGAUCCAAUUACAUCACAAGAAUCAUCACCAAAUGAUCUUGAAGAGAGUGACCCGCUAGCUUACAUUCCCAAGGCUCAUUUUCCUCAAAGGUUAACAAAGGUAAAGAAAGGGACUUCAACAUGUGAGAUUAUAGAAAUCUUCAAGCAGGUAAGUAUAAACAUCCAUUUACUCGAUGCUAUUAAGCAAGUUCCUUCCUAUGCCAAGUUUUUGAAAGAUUUAUGCACUAAAAAGAGAAAUUUGCAUGUCACUAAAAAGGCGUUUUUAACUGAACAAACUAGCAAUUUACUUCAAUGUAAAAUGCCACCAAAAUUUAAGGAUCCUGGUUCUCCUACUAUUUCAUGUGUUAUAGGGAACCAAUGUUUUGAUAAAGCAUUAUUGGAUUUAGGUGCUAGUGUUAAUCUCUUACCUUAUUCCAUUUACAUGCAGCUUGGACUAGGUGAGUUAAAAUCAACUCCUAUUAUUUUGCAACUUGCUGAUAGGUCAAUGAAAAUACCUCGUGGUAUUAUAGAGGAUGUGUUGAUACAGAUUGACAAAUUUUAUUAUCCUGUUGAUUUUAUUGUUAUUGAUACUCAACAUGUACAUGAUCUUAAGAAACACACUCCACUUAUUCUUGGUCGUCCUUUCUUAGCUACAGCUGAUGCUCAUAUUAGUUGCAGGACUUGAAACAUGCAAUUGUCUUUUGGUAACAUGACCAUGGAAUUAAAUAUUUUUAAUGUUCCCAAGCAGGCACAAGAAGAUGAUGAAGUCGUUGAAGUAGAUAUGAUAGAAGCAUCAAUUGAUGACUCACUUAUUUCUAACCAUUGUGACAAUCCAUUAAUACCUUGCACAACUGACUCUGAUUUCUCUAUUGAUGUUGAUAGUGAUAUUGAAGAAGUUAAUGCUUUACUUGAUUCGACUCUUAUCAUAGAUCUAAUUAAGUGGAAAGAAAAGAUAAGAUUGAGCCACUUCCUCCUGAAGAGAAAAGUGCAACAUAGGUCACAUUCUGACAUAAAAAAGGUGGUAAGAUCUAAAACGCUUAAAUUAUUAGAUUUUUAUACUACUUUAGAUAACUCUCAGGAAAGCUUAGAACAGAAGAGAUCAAAGCAAUGCGAUAUUGAGGAGUUUCAUUACCAUCAUCCUUUUAUGGAUAAAAUGCUCCAGUGCUUAAUCAAUUAUGCUUUUUGGUAUUUUCUAUAUAAUUGCUUUAAUUUUCACCAAAUUCUUAUUGAUCCUGGUUGAUUUGUUGUUUACAUUAAUUAGUUAGUUAGUCGGAUUUUUUUAUUAUUAUUUAUAUUUCUUCUAACGUUUUCUUUUGAGUUGUCAUUCUUUUAAGUUUUCCUAGCUCAGUCAGGUGUGUUCUCUCCAACUUUCUCUUUUAUUAUUUAUGUUUUUAUUUUUCAUCUUUUUGCGUGCAUAUCUUUUAUUUAUGACACAUUGAGGACAAUGUUCCGAAUAAGUUUGGGGGUGGGAAUAAUGUUGCUUUGUUUGUUAAAAAAAACUAAAAAAAAAUUUCAAAAAUUCAAAAAAAAAUUGUGUUUUUUUUGUUUUUACGUGAAAAGCCAAUGAUAAAAACUUGAUUGACAAUGAAUAUGGUUUUUAGAAAGGGUUUAAUAUUGUCUUAAUUUAUACUUGAUUCUUAUGUUAGUUCCUCUUGAUUGAGAUUCUUUAAAAUAUAAGCACUAAUAUCAAUUCUUUCAUAAUUUUGACUUGAAAUUUGAGAUUGACGCAGCCUGAGUUGAGAAUUUUAGAUAGAGUAAAUGACUGUUUGUCUUUAUUCUUAUCUCCACAAUACAAAAUAGUAUACACAGGCACCAAAGUCAGAAAUAACUACCUAUAAUCCUUAAGAGUGAAGCUAUCCUUGAGUAAUUUAGGCCUAUGUACCACAAGUAUGUAGAGGAUAAUCUACCAUGAGAAGAAUGCUACCUUAAGGGGUAGAGUGAAAGCUCCUGACUAUGGUUAAAAAAAAAAGAAGAAGAAAAAGAGAAAGAAAAAAUCAAAUCAAGUGCAUGUGCUGAAAAAAAAAUCAAAAGAAAAUGCACAUAAAAGCCUGUGAAAAAAAAAUUGGAGAUUAAGAUGAUAAGAUUAGCUUGACCUACUCUUUUCUUUUUUUGAGGCGAAGGUUGUUGAUAUUGAAGAUUUUAGGAAUGAAUUUGAUUGAAUUGAUUUCACACACACACAACAAGAAUCGAAAGAGAGAUGGGAUUGAUUAUUGAAUUAAAGUUAGAACUUUGCCAAUAUUUGAAAUUUUGUUUGAGCUAUAUAAUUUAUGCAAUCUUUGAGGGUAUUUUCAUAUUUUAUUUAAAGUUUUUUUUUCUUUUUAUUUUAUUUUAUUUAUUUUUUAUUUUUUUAAAAUGAUGUUUGUGGGUGUCAUCACUGAAGCUCUCACGAGACUAUAACUCGUCCACUAGGGGUUUAAAGGCUUGUUGCAUACGCUAAAUGCAAUCGCGAUUACCUGCGAAAAUGGUUUAGUUAGGAUUUACUUUUUGUUUUGUUAUUUUUUUUUUUUUUUUUAGUUUUAGCUUUGCUCGAGGACUAGCAAAAUCUAAGUUUGGGGGUAUUUGAUGAGCAUAAUUUAUAUACAUAUUUUACCUUUAAUUAUAUAAUUAUUAGUUAUCUUUAUUAGUUAUUUUUAAUUAAUUGAAUUAUUUUAUUGCAUAGGGAAUUAAUUGGAGAUUGGGAAACAAAAAGUGCAUAAAGAAUAACAAGUUUGGGAAAGCAUCAAUCAAAGCCAUGACACAAUUAAGAGUUUAUAGCAUAUGAAGGCAAGAGUAAUUUGCACUAAAAAAGAAUUUCAAUUAUUCAAGUGAUCUGGACGUGCAUAGUAUUGUAAUGCAUGGAAAGCAACUUAAAGGGGCCCACACUUGGCUUUUACAAUUGGAAAAAGGAAUCCUAGUGCAAGCUUAAUUGGUGAGCACGUGAGUGAGAGCAAAGAAAAUUAAAAGGCCAAGCCUUUUGGCUUAAGGAAAUAACAAGGUCGGUGGGGCCCAUUUUAAAGAGUAAUAUAAAAGCAAGCUUUUGGCUUUUGGAGAGAGAAGCCGCCAGAGGAGGAAAACGCGAGACAAAGAGAAGAAAAUAUGCCGCAGUUCGACUUCUAUGGUUGGUUUUAUCUCUUUUGUUACUCUUAAUUCAAGUAUGUCUAGCUAAUUUUCUUAUAUUGAAGUUAAGGAUGAAAUCAUAUUCAAUGAAAUAAUUAUCUUUUUAUUUAUUUAAUUCCCAUAUAUGUUCUUUAAUGAUUAUGAUUUUUAUUUCACAUGAUUAAUUGGAUGUUAUUAAAAUCUUUUCAUCAAUUCUGUCAUAUAUUAUUGAUUGUUAUGAUUAAUAUUAAAUUAAAUCUAUACUUGGAUUUAUAAAGUUUAUACAUGAUUAUCUUUGAUUCUAUGUCUUUCAUUAAAUUGUUUACAUGGAGUGCCUAGGAAAACUUUGACUCUUUGUUAUUCAAUAUGUUCACAUGGGAUACUUAGAUGUCGUACUAUUAAGCGGAAAAAGAACCUAUAUUAGAUUUAAUUAUUUGGGCUUAAUUGUUAUAUCCAUGAGAUGACAUAGAUUGAUUUCGAGUUGUCACUCUAAAAUUGGGGAUUAAUGAAUAUUUAGAUAAUUACUAGUUGAAUAGUGGUGGAUUCUGAAACCUUGGUAAUUUCUAUCUUAUUGAAUUCUCCUUUACUUUAAUUGUUUUCUUAGUUUAAUUAGUUUAAUUUCUCUUAAAACUCAAUUCGCUCAACUAGGUUAGAAUUAAUAUUAAUUUUAGAUUUAAAUUAGACUUUUCAAUUUAUAACAAUCCCUGUGGGAUCGACCUCGUUACCACUACUCUAUUUCUAGAUUCGUGCGCUUGCGAGUAUAUUAAAAUUUUCACAACAUUCGGCACUCUCACUCCUUAAGAGAGGUCAGGGGUUCAAGCCUCGCUCUCGUAUGGAGUCACCACUUUGACCAGCACUUUACCCCUUACAGACCGACCCGGUGCGAGCAUGAAUUAGUCUGGGUUGUGGUACGGGCUUAAAGGUGCCUCCCACAAUUGAGACCCACUCAGGACCACCUCGUGGUUCGGACAAAAAAAAAAUUGAAAUAAAUUAUCUCAAAAUAAUUACUAACCAGAAAAAACAAAGGGGUUUAACUAGGUUAUGCAUACCUUUGAAAAUUAUAUGUUGAUCGAUAAGCAUGAUGAUCACGAUUGAGGAGUUUAAUUAAAAUUUAUAAGAUUUUAAAAUUAAUCAGGGUUAAAUUCUAAAUUUUAGAAAGAGAGGUUUUGUGAGAAUGCUGAAAGGGUGUUAAUAGUUCCACUCUUUUUUAAAAAAACCAUAGUCAUCAUUUUUCCCGAUUUCUUCUUCCCAUCUCCAUCUUAUUUAGAAAUUUCCCAGAGCCUUUGUUUCCCACCAUUCAUUUUUCUUCUUUCUAAUUUAAGAUUAUAGUAUUAUAAAAAUAAUUACUCACAUUUUAUCAAACACCUCCAUUAUACCAAGGCCUUGUUUUAGUAGUAGGCUUUUAUUAUCUCAAUAAAAUUGAAAAAACAAAGCUCAAUAAUAUUGGAAAAAAAACCUACCCAUAUUUGUAACUUUAAUUUAUUAUUCUCCAUAGACCUACUUUUUAGCUUUGAAUUUUGUUGGAGCCAUAUAUAAACAGAAUAUGUUGAAAUCAGCACAAAAAAAAAACUAAUUAUAUAAUUUUUGUUCCCAAGGACACGACUGUGUGAUUUUUAAGAAGUUUUGUUUGGCUGGCCACUUAGGUUUAAAUCUUGGUGGAGAUUAGGGGUUAAGAAAUAAAUUUGGACUUUGCACACCCCUUUAACUUUUAAAAAGAAUGAAAAAAACUAAUUAAUUAAUCUUUAUUUUAUUUAUUAAAUGUCAUAAUCAUAUGCAUAUUUUAUUUGUUAUCUUUCUAUUUAAAAGAUAGGAGGGCAAAUAAAACUGAAAUAAAUGUUUAUCCCUAUCUCCAUCUUUCAAGUUCCAUAGUUAGGUGACCAGCUAAAGAAAAUUAAUUGAAAGUUACUCCAUCAAAUUAAAAAAAAUUAUUUAUUUAAUUUGUGGAGAUGUAGAAAAUCAAACCCCAUACCUUUUCGCAUGCAAAAGUGUCAACCUGGUCUAGCUAUGUUGCAACAGUAAACAUAUUUUAAUACAUGACUAUCAUCUUUUAUCCUAAAUACUACUAUAACUAUGGGUUCAGUUAUGCUGUAACUGUGGUAUGGUACCACAGUUGUUUUCAACCAUUAAAUUCAACUUAUAUAACUAUGCAACUGUAGAUCUAACGGCUGAAAGCAACUAUGGUACCAUACCACAGUUGCAACAUAGUUUUGCCCCUAUAACUCAUAACAUUCAAUUGAAAUAAUAAAUGUUAACACUUGGCUAUAAAUAAAGGUUUUGUACUUGAAUCUUCAUGCAUGACCUUCAUUCCUUUAUUGACUUUGCUAACACAGAUUUUGAGGCAUUAAAACUAAAUAAUAAUUGACUUUGUGGGCCGAGGAUGCCAGCAACAAGGAGACCACAAUUAUCACUAGUUAAGUUACUCUAAUUGCCGUUGUCUUAUAUUCAUAAAAUAUUAGUAAUAAGAUUAUUGUAGAAUUUUUUUAUAUUAAAAUUAAGUCAAUUUGUUAUAACAAAUUUAGUUGAGUUUAAUCGUGUUACUACAUACAUUGAAUAAUAAUAGAAUUCUCGACAAAUAUUUCAAUAUUUUUAUCCCAAGCGUUGGAGUGGCAUUUAUUUGUUAGACAAUCGAUUUUAGAACUUAUAAAAUUAUUCGUUACUGAAUUGCACCAUAUGCUGCAUGACCUGAAACUUAAUAAACGGAACGUAGCGUUGGCAACAUUCACUGUCAUGACUUUGUGACAUUAGAAUUAAAUUUUUUUGCACAUUUAAUUUGUUUACUUCCAAAUUAAUAUUUAACAAAAUAUUUUUUCACAUUAUCAAUGGACAAAACUCCAACGAAAAUAACUAUACAAUAUAUGCUAGUAUUGUAUGCCAUAUCAUCUGUAAUUUUGUCAGGAUCGAUCAUUUUAAUUUUUAAGCAAAACUUUUUAUCAAUGGACAAACACCUCACACAGCUUGUCAGAGGCAUUAUUAUGAUGGAAAACUGAUAAACAGUGAACUCGAAACUCAAUUACUACAAGUCGUUUAGAGGAUUCAGUCUUGGAUGACUUGUCACUUGUGGAAUUCUUGAAGCCAGAACCGACAUAAUCUCAGUCGUCAUUCUGUCUUAAGUAAUACACAUGGUUUGCAUGUGUGUUGAAGCUGACUCUUUGCUUGGAUCAAGAAACGACGUCUUUGAGUGCCGUUUCUUAAACACACUUUAAAUCAGCUUGUGUCAAGCACGUGAGGUAGAGCUUUUUGAAUAGAUUUGGCGGGAAUGGUAGUUAGUGUAACAACCCAGAAAUAGAGGUUAAAAGGUGAAGGCUUUGUCAUCAUCUACACAUGAUUUGGGAAACAUUGAGAGUAGAGAAAAAGAUAGAGAGAGAAAGGGGUUAACAAGUUCUUGUUCUCUGUAAAUCGAUUUAUAUUCUUGUAAAGUUUGUGAUCUCAAUUAGUGAAAGACUGUUGCUUUGUUUCCAGUGGAUGUAGGCACCACUUCUUGGUGCUGAACCACUUAUACUUGGUGUCAUAUUGUUUCUUUAAUGCUUUGAUUCUUGCGUGUGAUUGUUGCUGGAUAAUCUGUGCUGUUAAUUCUCAAACCAUUGAUACAGAAUUAAUGUCUUGGGGAGAAUUUGGUUAGUCUUAUCAAAGCCGAAUUCACAACAAAUUGGUAUCAGAGCCCUCUUUUCUGUAUCAAGGUUCAAGAAAUGACUAACAAGGUGGAUCUUGAGAAGUUCAAUGGUCAGAAUGAUUUCAAUAUGUGGAGGAUCAAGAUGGAAGCAUUGUUAAUCACACAAGGUCUGGGAGAUGCCAUUGAUCCAGUCAUUAAGAGUGAAAAUGCAGAAGCCUAUUCUUCAAGAACUCCAGAACAGAUGGCUAAGAUUGAAAAAAAGGCAAGAAGCACCAUCAUCCUCAGUCUUGGUGACUUAGUGAUAAGGGAAGUUGCCAAGAAAAAGACUGUUGCUAGGCUCUGGGCAAAACUGGAACAAUUGUAUAUGACAAAGUCCUUAGCAAACAGGCUAUACAUCAAGAAAAAGAUGUUCUCACUGAGGAUGAUUGAAGGAGCAUCACUUGAUGAACACAUAGAUGAGUUUAAUAAAGUUUGUGAUGAACUGGAAACAAUUGAUGAAGGACUGAGUGAUGAGAGCAAGGCUUUGCUGUUAAUCAGUUCUUCACCAAAAUCAUAUGAACAUUUUGUGGAUGCCUUGUUAUAUGGAAGGCAAUCACUCUCCUUGGAAGAGGUUAAAUCUACUCUUGGUACCAAGAAGUUAAAAGAAAAACAAGAUAACUCAGAGAGUGAAUCAAGUGAAGGGCUGAUGGCAAGGGGCAGAUCUGAAAAAAAGGAGUACAAAGGAAAAAAACAAGGGAGAUCAAAGUCAAAGCAGAAACAUUUGAAGUGUUUUCACUGCCACAAAGAAGGGCAUUUCAAGAGGGAUUGCCCUGAGAGAAAAACAAAGCAAAAGGAAUCAAAAGACAAAUCUGGAAAUACAGCAAUAGCCACAGAAGAAACCAGUUUUGAGAUAGCUGAAGUCCUCAUUGCCACAAAAGAAAAAAACUCAAGGUCAGUGGGUACUAGACUCUGGAUGUACUUUUCAUAUGAGUCCAAAUAGAAAUUACUUUACUACAUAUCAGUCCUGUGAUGGGGGUAUGGUGCUGAUGGGAAAUAAUUCAGUUUGUAAAGCAGUUGGGAUUGGGACUGUAAGCCUUAAGAUGUAUGAUGGCAUGGUUAGAGAACUAACUCAGUUUAGGCAUGUUCCUGAGCUUAAAAGGAACCUAAUAUCUAUUGGCAUGCUUGAUCAAACUGGAUGUGUCAAUAAGGCUGAAAAUGGGUCAUUGAAAGUUAUCAGAGGCUCAAUAGUCAUAAUGAAAAGUUCCAAGCAAAAUGGUUUGUAUGUGUUGAAUGGACAUACAACUGUUGGAGAGGCAAGUGUCACUGAGAAGAGUGAAGACAAAGCAAGACUAUGGCACUUGAGGUUGGGGCAUAUGAGUGAAAGGGGAUUGAAGGAGCUUCAAAAGAAUGGGGUGUUUGGAAGUGACAAGCUAAGUUCUUUGGGGUUCUGUGAAGACUGUAUCCUAGGGAAGGCUUCCAAUCUCAAGUUUGAAUCUGCAGUUCAUUCUACCAAAGAGAAGCUUGCAUAUAUACACUCUGAUAUGUGGGGGCCUGCACAGGUAAAUUCUCUUGGUGGCUUUAAGUAUUUCUUAUCCUUAAUAGAUGACUAUUCAAGGAUGGUUUGGGUGUAUGUACUCAAAACCAAAGAUGAAGCUUUGGAAAAGUUUUAGAGGUGGAAAAUUCUGGUAGAAACACAGACAAGUUUGAAAGUAAAAGCUCUAAGAACAGAUAAUGAAUUGGAAUUCUGCAACAAAGAGUUUGGAGACUUUUGUAAAAGACAUGAGAUUAUGAGGCACAAAACAGUCAUACACACACCUCAGCAAAAUGGUUUUGCUGAGAGAAUGAACAGAACCUUAAUGGACAAGGUGAGGUGUAUACUGCUAUACUCAAAGCUGCCUAAGUCACUCUGGGCAGAGGCCUUAAACACAGCAUGUUACUUGGUAAAUAUAAGUCCAUCUACAGCAAUAGAAUGCAAAACACCUAUCGAGCUAUGGUCUGGAAGGGUUGCAGAUUACUUUAAACUGAGAAUCUUUGGAUGUGUUGCUUAUGCAUAUGUCAAACAAGGCAAAUUGGAGCCAAGAGCUUUAAGGUGUAGAUUUCUAGGAUACCCUGAUGGAGUUAAAGGCUAUAGGCUAUGGUGCAUUGAUUUGAAGCCACCAAAAUGCAUUAUCAGCAGGGAUGUAACUUUCAAUGAGUCAGAAAUCUUGAACAAAUCCAAAACCACUUAAUCCAAAGAUCAUAUAUCAGAAACAAGACCUGGGAGUGUUCAGUUUGAGGUGGAGUCCUAUGAACAAGAUAGGACUGAAUCAGAAACUGAAGGAGAUUCAGGAAGGGUUACUGAUGGAUUUGAUGUUGUUCAGGAGUCAGAGCCAGCUGAGAAUGAAGAUAAUUCUUAUCAGUUGGUCAGGGAUAGAAAGAAGAGAGCUGUAAGACCACCUAAGAGGUAUACAAUAGCAGAUUUCAUAGCUUAUACAUUAACAGUUGCACAAGAGGUAAAUGAGGAAGAGCUAAGAACCUAUAAAGAAGCUAUAAACAGCAUGGAUAAGAUGAAAUGGAAGGAGGCUAUGGAUGAGGAAAUUGAAUCACUAAUGAAAAAUGGAACUUGGAAGCUGAUAGUUAGACUAGAAAAAAGGAAGACUGUUAGCUGCAAAUGGAUCUUCAAAGUUAAGGAAGGUAUAUCUGAUGCUGAACCUAGUAGGUUUAAAGCUAGGCUGGUAGCAAGAGGCUUCACACAAAGAGAGGGGAUUGAUUUCCAUGAAAUCUUCUCUCUAGUUGUGAAACAUGCCUCCAUCAGAGUCAUCUUAGCUUUAGUUGCCAUUCAAGACAUGUACCUGGAGCAUAUGGAUGUUAAAACAGCCUUCCUGCAUGGUGAAUUACAAGAAGAAAUUGUAAUGGAACAGCCUGGGGGGUAUGUGGUGUCUAGUAAGGAAAAUCAUGUGUGCUUACUAAAGAAAUAUUUAUAUGGAUUAAAGCAGUCUCCUAGGCAAUGGUACUUGAAGUUUGAUAGUUUUAUGACAAAACAUGCCUACAAGAAAUGCAAUUAUGAUUGUUGCGUGUACUUUAGGGACAUUGGUGAUGGAAAGAUGAUUUAUCUUAUGCUGUAUAUGGAUGACAUGCUUAUAGCAUGUCACAGCAUAGAUGAAAUCAGUCAUUUAAAGAAUCUCUUGAGCAGUGAAUUCGAUAUGAAAGAUCUUGGAGCUGUAAGGAAGAUCUUAGGUAUGGAAAUUAUCAGAGACAGGAGAAGGAAGCUUAUGUUUUUAACCCAACAGAGCUAUGUUAAGAAGGUGUUGCUUAGAUUUGGGAUGCAUGAAUCCAAGUCUGUUCAAACACCUUUGGCAAAUCACUUCAAGCUGUCUGCUGCACAUUGUCCACAAACUGAUGCAGAGCAAGGAAAAAUGGCAAGGAUACCUUACUCCAGUGCAGUUGGGAGCCUCAUGUAUGCCAUGGUUCUCACUAGACAUGAUAUCUCACAUGCUGUGAGUAUAGUGAGUAGAUUCAUGGCAAAUCCAGGUUAUGAGCAUUGGAGGGCAGUCCAGUGGAUAAUGAGGUACCUGAAAGGCACUAUGGAGUUUGGUCUGCUAUAUGGAGGGUUAAAACAGGAAGGGCACAAGCUGGUGGGGUAUGUUGACUCAGACUUCGCUGGAGAUCUUGAUAAAAGGAGGUCUCAGACAUGUUUUAUAUUCACUUUGGGAGGCUGCACUGUGAACUGGAAAGCUACUCUGCAAAGUGUGGUAGCUUUGUCCACAACUGAAGCCGAAUAUACAGCAGCUGCAGAAGCUUUUAAGGAAGUCAUCUGGUUAAAAGGAAUGGUCUCAGAGUUAGGAGCAAAACAAGAAACAGUUGAAGUAUACUGUGAUAGCCAGAGUGCAAUACAUUUGAGUAAAAACCAGACCCAUCAUGAAGGAACAAAACAUAUUGAUGUAAAGCUUCAUUUUGUAAGACUUGAAGUUUCAAAGGGAACUGUGAAGAUGCUCGAGGUUCACACUGAUCAAAAUCCAACCGAUAUGUUGACUAAAGCUGUGCCUUCUGCCAAGCUCAACUUCUGUUUGAGCUUAGCAGGAAUUUGCAGUUUCUGAUCAGCUGCAAAAGAAAGGGAAUAAAGUAUACAGGAGUAGCUAGAGUUCAGAGUUCACACUGAUUAAAAGGUGCAGGCUUUGUCAUCGUCUACACAUGAUUUGGGAAACACAGAGAGUAGAGAAAAAGAUAGAGAGAGAAAGGGGUUAACAAGUUCUUGUUCUCUGUAAAUCGAUUUCUAUUCUUGUAAAGUUUGUGAUCUCAAUUAGUGAAAGAUUGUUGCUUUGUUUCCAGUGGAUGUAGGCACCACUUCUUGGUGCUGAACCACUUAUGCUUGGUGUCAUAUUGUUUCUUUAAUGCUUUGAUUCUUGCGUGUGAUUGUUGCUGGAUAAUCUGUGCUGUUAAUUCUCAAACCAUUGAUACAGAAUUAAUGUCUUGGGGAGAAUUUGGUUAGUCUUAUCAAAGCCGAAUUCACAACAAAAACUGUAAUGGUAUAUCUUGAAUUAUUGGUAGAAUAGUUCUUUGGAGCAAUAAAAACAGAUAAGACAGAUGAGAAAAUUGUCAAUACCCCACCGCAAAAGCAAAAGAAAACAAGGAAAGGAGACAAAAGAGGAAGAAGAAAAAGAAAAAAGAACGAAGAAAAAAAUGGUGCCGUGCGGUAUAGGCAAGAAGAAAAAAUAAUAAAAAAUAAUAAAAUAAUAGUGCACAACAAUCAUUUGAUUGCUAUAAAUAAAAGGCGUUUCCCUCAUUUUAUUCAUCGAAUUCUUCAGUUCCUUUCAAGCGAUUUAAGAGUCUAGUGAUUUGAGAGUUUGGGUGUAGUAUGAUUUUGGGUAGUGAGCUAAAAUACUACAAUACUUGUAACUCAUUUUUAUUAGUAAAAUAUUUUCCUUCUGACUUCGCCCGUGGACGUAUGCUAAAAGCCGAAUCACGUAAUUUCUGGUGUCCCUAUGUGAUUAUGUGUCUCAUUAUUUCUUAAUUUCACUUUAGUUGCGUGUCUGCGACACCCCUCAAUUUAUUAACAAAAAAUGGCCAAAAUUAUAUAAGUGACCCAAAUUUUUUUGUUAUUUCCAAGAAAUCCCCAAUCUGAAUGGGCUAGACCAGAGGGAGGCAAGUUAGAAAUACAUUUCCUUCAUAGACAAUAACAGUGAUGAGUCGAUGACAUCAAGCCACGUCGGUAUCAAUAUUGAAUUAAAGGUGCAAUUAUUCAGCCAAUGAACCUUACACAUCAAGAUAAAAGUCAAGAAAAUGAAAAUUUAUCCCAAUUAAAACACUUUCUGGCUGCAUUUAGUUGUUUCCAUUAGAAGUUAAAAACAACGUUUCUUUCGUUUUGUGGGCAACUCAACUGAGUUAGCUGGCUUCUAGUGCUAGUAUGUGAAAAUAGAAGGCUAAUGAUUUAUUUAUUAUCUUUUGACAAAAUUAUUAAAGAUAUAAUAGAUUUUCUAUGAUACAAGUGAAAAAUCACAUCAACAUAGCUUUCAAUCUACAGCAGCUAGCGUUUACCAAACACUUUGUUGUAGCUUUUAAGCUAUAGCUGCCCAACCUCAAUCUCAAACGCACCCUUAAUAGGUUGAUUGAAUUUGUGAGAUAUGGAUUCCACAUAUCUCAUGACCUAGUAAUUAUACAAGUGGUUCGUGAUCAAGACACAACAUUUGCUUCCGGCCUAGUGACCCAGCAAUCGCUGCACUGGUCGCCACCUAUGGUGCCGACGAUAUUGCAUGGUCCAAUUGUGGCCUUGAAUGGAAAAAGUUGAGCAAAUUAUUUGUGGACACGAUGAUAAGUAACGCAAGCCUUGAUGCUAGUUAUGGUCAAAGAAAACAAGAGGUUAAGAAUACUAUCAGAGAUAUUCAUAACAACAAAAAGGAAAAAAAAAAGGCAUUUGCAAGCCCAUUGAUAUUGGUGAAUUGUCGAUUUCAACUUUGGCAUGUGUAAUCCAGAACCUGCGCGCUGUGGUAUGGCGCUGGCACGCUUGCAUUAACGAGGGGACAAGUCUUGGGGCUGAGCUAACAUUUAAGCUCGCAGAACUCAUGGUGCUAAUGGGAACACCAAAUAUUUUUUUGACAUAUUUUGGUGCUUUCAUGGUUUAAUUCAAGGUAUAGAAAGGAGUGUUGAGAAUGUCAAAUAAAACGGCAUUGAAUGGAAGUUGUCAAAGACACGAUCCGCACCGAACGGCAACGACACGGUUGCUAAAAAUCCUUCCAUAAUAUGCAUAUCUAAUUUUUUAAAAAGUGUAACCUCUGCAUUUAUAAAUAUACUCAAUGUAUAAUGUUUUACUUAAGAAAUGAAAAACUUGUUUGUUCAAGGAGAAUAAAGAAAAUUUUUCUAUGAUUUUUUUAUGGUUUGAACAAAGAAGGUUUUAAUGAGUAUUAUAGACCUCGAUUGAAUGUUCGAAUGUAUAAUAAAAGAGAAACUGUCACAUAAAUGACAAAGAUACUUGGAAAAAAAAAAAGGGCAGCAAUAGAGAAUUAGAUUCGACUGCACAAAUAACUAGUUAAUUCAUCAAUACAUCAUUUUCUUGCUAGAAAAUGACAAUUAUGACAGCAAGCCACGAUAGUGUCAAUAUUGAAAUUGAUUUGCAAUUAUUCAGCCAAUGUGCCUUACACGUCAAGAUAAAAGUCAAGAAAAUGAAAGUUAAUAUCAAUUAAAACACUUCCUGGGCCGCAUUUAGCUCCAGUUUUUGUGGUAGGAAAACAAAGUUUUGUUUUAAAUUCACAUGGUGUGCACUUCCUAUAUAAAUCUAGAGUUGUGUCCCACGUUGAACAAUAAAGGAAAGUCACCUAAAUAUACAUGUAGGAUAAGUUACUUUAUUUAGUAAGUUUGUAUUUUCUUCUUUCUUCUAGUUUACAUAUAAAUUUGAUUAGAUAACUUAACACAUAUUUUAAUACUUGAUCAGAAGCCCUACGUACAGGUGGAUCUAGAAACUUGAUUUCUAAGAGUAAUACUAUAAUAAAAAAAUAAUGAUUCAUAGAACCAAUAUCAAAAUUUGUUUACAAGAUUACCCCCACUCAAAGGUAAUUUUCAUAGAAAUUAAUAGGAAAUUUAAUUGUUAGUGGGGUCAAAUUGCCCCCACACUCUGAAUGUAGAUCCACGCCCGACCCUGAGUCAAGUAUAUUUUGCCACAUAUACUCUGAAUGUCGGCAGGAAAAAUCUUCCACUUUAGUUUAAAAUUUUCACUUAAAAUUUAUUUACGUUAAUAAAGUUGGUAAAGGAAAUGAGUUUAAUUAAAGAAUAUUAUAGGAGAAAUUCUAUUGUUUGGCUUUUAAUAAAUUAAUUAAUAGGUUUAAAAAGAUUAAUAUACAUCAAAAUAUUAUUAGUUGGUGGUGGUUCCACAUCGGACUAAGACGUGGCACCUUACUUGUGAGAUUAAGACAAUCAGGCUUAGACUAUUUAAAUAUGUUUGAAGCUUAGAUGGCACCGCUUCAAUUUGCAUUAAUGAAUGUCAUUCUUUACCCUAAUUACUACGUAAUUGAUAACAUGCAAUUGAAAUAACUAAUAUUAGCACUUGGCUAUAAAUGAACUAAAGGCCGUGCAAUUGAAUCUUUACUUGAUCACUUCAUUCCUUUAUUUUGCUAACACAGAUUUUGAGAUAUUAAAACGAAAUAAUAAUUGAAUCUGGCUUUGUGGGUCGAUGAUGCCAGCAACAACGAGACCACAAUUAUCACUUGUUUAUUUGCUGUAUUUGACGUUGUUUCAUAUUGGUAGUAAUAACUAAUAAGGUCGUUGUAGAGUUUUUAAUCUUUUUUUUUAUAUUAAUCACGAGGUAUCCUGGGGAGGGCCCCAACUGUGGGAGGCACCUUUAAGCUCGUACCACAACCCAGACUAGAAGUCCCCGCUCGAACCGGGAGGCACAGUUUUUAAUCUUUUUUAUAUUAAAGUUAAGUCAAUUUGUUAUAAAUAAAUAAAAAAUUGGUUGAGUUUAAUUAUAUUGCUAUGUACAUUAAAUAAUUAUAAUAUUCUCGAGGGAAAAAGACACCUAGAACCUCAAGGUUUGGGGAAAUGGUCACAAAAACUCCUAAGUUUUAAAAAAGGAACACUAAAAUCUUUUUUUACCCAUAAUACCCUUUGACUAUAGUAAUUAGAAAAUUGACUUUAAAGGUUUUUAAAUAAUACAAAUUUAAUAUAAAUCAUAUAAUCUAUCUAGUACACUAAUAAUAUUAAAUUAUUUUUUAUAUUUAAAAUAAUGUUAAAAAAUUUAAAUUAUUAUAUUUAUUUUAAUAAUAUAUUUAUAAAAUUAUAAAGAUUUUAAAUAAAUCUUUGGAUUGAAUAUAUUUUACAAUUAAAAGUCUUCCUAUUAAUAAUAUUAAAAUUAAAUUUUAAGUAAUAUAUAUUCAAAAUAUUUUUAAUUUAAUUUUAUUUAUUUUAAUAUUAUGUUUCUAUCUAUUAUUAAAAAUUACUUUAAUAUAAUAAAAUAGGUCUAAUAGAUUGAAAAAUAUGAAAAUAUUUUUAAAAUUUUAAAUUAUUUUGAAAUGUAUAUAUUAUUACAUUUAUUUCAAUGUCAUAUUUCCAUUUAUUAUAAAAUUUUGGGGUUAUUUUUUUGGGAAUUUAUAGAGUCAAAGAGCAUUAUGGUUAAAAAAGAGUCUUGGUGUCCCUUAUUGAAAACUUUAGAGUUUUUGUGACCAUUUUCCUAAAUCUUGGGGGUGUUGAAGUGGCACUUAUUGUAAGAUUGAUUUUAAAAUAUGUAAAAUUAAUUUUAUUACAUUACCAUAUGCUACAUCACCUGAAACUUAAUAAAUGGAACGUAGCAUUACUCCACGUUCACCGUUAUGACCUUAUGACAUUAGAAUUAAAAUCUUUCGUACGUUUAAAUUGUUUACUUCCAAAUUAAUCUUUCGUAAAUAUUUUGUACAGAUCUUAUCGGAGUUAGCGUGUUCAUUACAGUGUUUCUUUUCUUUUAUCCUUUCUUUUGAAACGUAUUUCCUGUGGACAAGGAAAGCAAAUAAUACCCUGCCACCAGGACCUCGCGGCUUGCCUGUAAUCGGAUACCUUCCAUUUCUCGGAAUUACUGACUUACACAAGACAUUCACGGAAUUAGCUGGUCUAUAUGGCCCGAUCUUCAAACUCUGGCUUGGCAACAAAUUGUGUGUAGUGGUUAGCUCGCCUUCAACUAGUUCUAUAAGAAUAUCCCUUUUAAGGGAUUCUCUCUCUGCAAAAUUUUUUUAUCUUCUGGUGCAUAAUAAAAACUUAUGCCACUUCAUUAACCACAGAUAUCUUUUGAGGAAACGAUGUUUCGUUUUCUUUUGUUUUUUCCUUCCUAAUCCUCGCAUAUCGUGUGAAGGCUAAUAUAUCCAAGAAUCUAAAUCUCUGUAAAUCUUUUUCUAUCCAAAUCUACAUAAUAAUUUAAUCCAUGCACAAUAUCUAUAAUUAUAUCGGCUGUCGGCUGAUUUCGUGGAGGGGGCGGCAGUUCAAAUUUUUUACGUGCAUGUUGGAUGGACGUCUCUAUUAAAGGAGAGCCACCACUUGCAUGGUAAUUUUUUUAAAUAAAUAUAUACAUUUCAAAAUAUUAUUUCAUUGUUGUAUAGUUAACAUGUCACCUUAGAUGUAUUUUAGAACUUCUCCUAUUAAAGAUAAUCUCAUGCAGUGAUACUUCUCGUGAUCUAAUCAUUAGUAGAAUCUAUAAUUUCGCUACUGUAAUAAAAUCUGUCCCUACCCUAUAUGAAUGUAGAUAUUUGACGCGAUUUGUAAUUGCUUCCGACAGGAAAACAGCAAUAGUUUAAUUGAAAUUUGUGGUAUGGAUUCCACGAAUCUUAUGACAGAAUACUGACCACUCCAACCCUAUCCACAUUUACACGAUUAAAACACAAGCUUAGAUGUGACAAUGCAUUUGUCACUUUUGUUCAAAUUCAUCCUGAAACACUAUACACUAAAUAAUCGAAUAUGGCUUCGUGGGUCGAUGAUGCUAGCAGCAACGAGACUGCAAUUAUCACUUGUUUUGUUGCUGUACUUGUCGUGGUCUAUUUCGCAUGGAAUGUAAACAAAUCAAGUAAAGCAAAUGCUAAAUUGCCACCAGGAUCUCGGGGCUUGCCAGUAGUCGGAUACCUCCCAUUUCUUGGAACUACUGACUUACACAAGACAUUCACGGAGUUAGCUGGAGUUUAUGGUCCGAUCUUCAAGAUUUGGCUUGGGAAUAAAUUGUGUGUAGUGGUGAGCUCGCCUACCCUAGUUAAACAAGUGGUCCGUGAUCAAGAUAUAACAUUCUCAAACCGCGACCCACCGAUCGCUGGAACUGUGACCACCUACGGUGGCAAUGAUAUUGCACUUUCCAAUUAUGGUCCCGAAUGGAAAAAGUUGCGAAAAUUAUUUGUGAGCAAGAUGAUGAGUAAUGCAACCCUUGAUGCUUGUUAUGCUCUAAGAAAACAAGAGGUUAAAAAUACUAUCAGGGAUUUGUACAACAACAAUAAGGAUAAUAUUGGCAGUGGCAAUGGCAAGCCCAUUGACGUUGGUGAAUUGUCGAUUUCAACUUUGGUACGUGUUAUGCAGAACAUGCUGUGGGGUCAAGCAUUGGAAACAAGAGAGAAAGAGAUUACUAAUCUCGGGGCUAAUCUUGCAGAACUCAUGGUGCUACUGGGAACACCAAAUAUUUCGGAUAUUUUUCCAGUGCUUUCAUUGCUUGACAUGCAAGGUAUAGAGAGAAGAGCUAAGAAGAUUUCUCUAUGGUUUGAAAACAUUAUCAAUUCUGGUGUUGAACAGUAUAGAAACAAGUUUUCUGUUGUUAAAGGUGAAGAAGCUGCAGCAGGAAAAAAUAUUGAACGAUCAAGAAAUAAGGACUUCUUGCAGUUACUGUUGGAGCUUCAGGAAAAUGAAGAUAGUGCUUCAUCUAUUAGCAUGAACCAACUAAAGGCCGUGCUCGUGGUAUGUUAAGCAACUAGACACAAAAAGUUGUAAAAGCACAGUGAUAUAUUUGCGCGAGGCCGCGAGUGAUGUUUUGCCUCGAGAACUCUCAAUUUUAUCUUACGGUAAAAAAUGUUUUUCAACUUUUUUUAAUUAGAAUUUUAUUGCAAUUUAUUUAACAGGACAUAAUUGUGGCCGGAACCGACACCACAACUACGAUGGUGGAAUGGACAAUGGCAGAGUUGAUGCAACAUCCACAAGUAAUGAAGAAAGUUCAAGAAGAAUUAGCUCAAGUUGUGGGCAUGGACAGUUGUGUUGAAGAAUAUCACUUGCCUAAAUUAAAUUAUUUAGAUGCUGUGGUGAAAGAAACAUUUCGUUUGCAUCCUGCGUUGCCCUUAUUGGUACCUCGCACGGCAAGCGAGAACAGCAAUAUUGGUGGCUAUACCAUUCCCAACGACACUAAUUUUAUGUUGAAUGUUUGGGCUAUUCACAGGGAUCCUCAACUUUGGGAUAAUCCCUUAGAUUUUCGACCUGAGAGGUUCUUGAAUGAUGAUAUCAUAAGCAAAUUCAAUUACUCGGGUAACAAUUUUCAGUACUUGCCAUUUGGUUCUGGUAGAAGGAUGUGCGCUGGCAUUCCUCUAGCUGAGAGGAUGUUGAUGCUUGUUCUGGCUUCGUUGUUGCACUUGUUUGAGUGGAAAUUGCCCCCGGGCACAAAGCUAGACUUAGCUGAAAAGUAUGGGAUUGUCAUGCGGAAAAAAGAGCCUCUGAUUGCUAUUCCAACACCAAGGCUACCAAAUUCAGAUCUCUACCAGUAAGAUCAAAAUGGUUGUGAUGAUAUUAUUUCCCAUUGUAUUGGAAUAUUUUUGUGUGAUUUGAAGUUCAAUCAUAAUAAAAUAUUUUAAUAAAAUGUCCUCGGUUGCUAAUUUUUCAAUAGUAUACUCUAUCAUCGUUUCUAACUGUCUUUUAGAGCCAUUUGGUCUAAUUUAUUUUUGAAUUAAAAUCCAUAAAUAUUUAAAUUUUUGAAUCAUAUUAAGAAUUAUCUGGAGUGUAUGGUCUGAUCUUCAAGUUCUGGCUUGUAAACAAAUUAGAGUUCUGAUAUUUGCCCCGGGUCAAACCCCGAAAUUAAAUAAAACGGCGUCGUUUUGUUUUUUUUUUUUUUUUUUUCUUUUUUACUUCUUCCAAACGUUGCCAUUUCACUUGUCAUUUGCAAGUGACUCCAUUGAUCCUUAGUUGAAACAGAGUUACACCGUAAAUCUCUUCCUCUUCGUUUCUUCGUUUCACCAGGGAACGAGACAGAUAAAAUCCAGCCAUUCUUCGACAUAACAAGAUAUCGAUUAGAAUCCAACGACAUAACUAUAAACCAUGACAUUGCGCUUGAUUUUGCGAAAUACCGAUUAAGAACCAGUAACUUUGAAUCCAAUGACCGUUAAGAGUUUGAAAUUGGUUUCAAAUGACUAAUGAGUUAUCAGAUUUCUUUGCGUCUACAUUUUCCUUGAAGGUUUCUCAGCAGCCAAACAAAUACAAAGCAAAUUGCAGAAGAAACACAUUUUGUUCCAAUGAAAAAUGUACGGAAACAUUUUAAAUAUGGAAAAUUACCUCAAAAUGAAGGCUCGCAAGAGAUUCGAGCAACAAAUUAGAUCAAAGGAACCGGCGCUGAGCAAGAAAGUGAGCUCAAAGAUUCCGAAACACAAACGUAAAUUCACAAAAAUGCAAAUCUAUGAUGAACGCCAAGAUCAAAAUUUUCGAAGAAAGGGAGCUGAAAAAAUAAAUGAAACGUCAAACUAGAUGACAAUGGAUUUGCUUCUUCAAAGGAGACAAUGAAAUUGUUACUAGAGACAGCUAGAGAAAUAGAGAGAGAGAGAGAGAGAGCUUGAAUUGGCUGUACCCCCACCAGAAAGUGGGUAGUGCCUUUUCCACUUGGACUUGAUAUGCGAAUCUGAAAAAAUCUGAACGAAGGACUGACUCAUCCCAGCUCGAAAGCAAACCAAGCUAGGACUGACUGAAAACGUUGCCGUUUGGAGAAGUUAAAAAAAAAAACUAAACAAAACGACGCCGUUUUGUUUAGUUUCGGGGUUUGACCCGGAAUUUGACCCGGGGCAAACAUCAUUUUCCAACAAAUUAUGCAUGGUCGUGUACACGCUUUCCCUAAUUAAGCAUGAGGUUCGUGAUCAAGGCACAACAUUCACUCCCUGCGACCCAACAAUCGCUACAUUGUUUGCCACCUAUAGUGCCAACGAUUUUGCACGGUCCAAUUAUGGUCCCCAAUCGAAAACGUUGCGCAAAUGUUUUCUGGGCAAGAUGAUAAGUAACGCAAGCCUUGAUGCUUGUUAUGGUCUAAGAAAACAAGAGGUUAAUAUAUAUAUAUAUAUAUAUAUAUAUAUAUAUAUAUAUAUAUAUAAAUUGGCAUUGUCAACUUUUGUAUGUUUUAUUCAGAACCCGCUGUGGGUUGACGCUAGCAUGCUUGCGUUAGGAGACGAGGGGACCAAUCUUGGGGCUGAGCUAAAAUAUAAGCUUGUAGAGAUCAUCUUGCUAAUGGUAAUGUUUUCCGAUGCUGGUUUAAUUCAUGGUAUAAAAAGGAGAACAAAAAAGAUUUUUCUAUGCUUUGAAAAUAUUAUAAUUUUUAUUUUAUAAUUUUUAAUAAAAUCUCUCAUUGAUAGCCAAACAAUUAAAAUUUUUGUAAAGCUUUUGUGGACUUUUGAUCGCGUAUGGUGCCAAUGUAUUGCGUGGUCCUAUUAUGGUUCCAAAUGGAGAAAGUUGCACAAGUUUUUUGAGUACCAGAAGAUCAGUAAUGUAAGCCUUGAUGGUUGUUAUGGUCUAAGAAAACAAGAGGCUAAAAAUUCUAUCUGGGAUUUUUAUAACAACAACAAAAUUGGCAAGCCCAUUGACAUUGGUGAAUUGUCAGUUUCAACCUUGGUAAGUGCGAUUCAGAACAUGCUGUGGGGUGAAACGCUUGAAAUAACAAAGAAAUGGAUUUACUAAUAUUGGGGCUGGGCUAAGAUUUAAGCUUGCAGAACUCACGGUGCUAGAGGGAACACCGAAUAUUUUGGAUAUCUUUCCAGUGCUUUCAUGGUUUAAUAUACAAGGUUUUCAGAGAAUAGCAAAGAAGAUUUCUCUAUGGUUUUAAAAUAUUAUCAAUUCUACUGCUGAACGCUAUAGAAACAACGUCUCUAUUGUCAAAAGUGAAGAAGCAGCAGCAGCAGGGAACAAUAUUGAAGGAAGGAAUAAGGACUUGGUGCAGUUACGCUUGGAGCUUCAAGGUAAAGAAGACAAUGCUUCAUCAAUUAGCAGGACGCAAUUUAAGAGCUUGCUCGUGGUAUGUUGCGCAACUAGCCACAGACAGUUACAGAAACUGAGUUUGGCAGAUUACGACCGUUUCUGGUGAUUACAUAAUUAUUUGUGGCUGUUUUUUUUUUUUAAUUGUAAUUUUCUUAACAGGAUAUAAUUUAGGGUGGAACCAACACCACAACUAUAAUGGUGGAAUGGACAAUGGCAUAAUUGAUACAGCAUCCACAAGUAAUAGAGAAUGUACAGGUAGAACUAAAUCGGGCCGUGGCCAUCGACAGCCAUGUUGAAGAAUUUCACCUAGCUAAGUUAAAAUAUUUAGAUGCUGUGGUGAAAGAAACAUUCUGCACUGUAAUAUAAUACAUGAAUCAUAUGUCCUCUAUUGUUUUUUUAUUUUUCUCUUUUUUUCAAUAGCUUAAUCUAUCAUUAAAAUCUUCUGAAAUUCUAAAUUAAUAUACAUUCAACCUAGAGUUCAAGCCAAAGUUUUAUUGAGCAUUAAAAAAAAAAAAAAUUCUACGACUCAAAAUUUUGUGGAGUAUAAAUUAAAAAUUAUGCGCCUACUAAGAGACAAAAAAUAAAUGAUACACAUUAACCAAUCAAAGGCGAACAAGAGAUUAUUAACAAUAACCUAAUAAUAAAAUUAUAAUGAAUAAAAAAGAAAUGGUACCUAGAAACACAUCACAGCCAUUUAAGCAAUCACUUACCCACAAAAUCCAAACAUAUAAACUAUGUGGGGGGGGGGGGGGGGGGGGGGGGUGUCAUGAUACCUUUGGGUUUCAUGAUAAUCAAAAUUGCAAUACCAUUAAAGACUCAAAAAUAAAAAAAAUCAUAGCCAAUAAAAGAGAAAAAAUAACCCACAAAAAAUCAUCAAGAAAAUAAAUUUGAGACUAAGAGAAGAUAUUAAUUAAACCCUGGGUUGCCUUGGAACCACGGCUUUGGCUUCCAUUUUUCAAUUCUUGGCGACAAGUCAUUUCUUGUUUGUUUACAAAGAUGACGGCUGAUUAAUGAAGCUCUAUUAACAAUGAAUAAAUAAAAAAACUGGCGCCUUGAAAAGACUAACGGUCAUAUUUUUCAACUCCGAAUUAGUGCCGUUUGAUGAGUCCUUGCCAAAACAAUCACUAGGCAAAUAACAAUCAUUUUUCAACCAGCAAAACUCAUUCAUUGUAUUUCACCUUAGUCAAGAUUUAAAAAUUGUUUCAAAAUAAACCUAGUGGUUAGAACCCAAGCGUCACAAUUGUGAGGUCAUGGGUUUGAGCCCCCACAACGUAUUGUGGGGGUUAAUUUUCUUCUUCAAUUUGAGUGAAAACAGUUCUCUCCCUUUCGAAAUGUGGGUGGAGUGGACGUCCCUCAAAUAUUAGAGAGGGUUCAAAUUUGGAUUGUACUAUAUAAGAUUUAUAAAUUAGUCCCAGUAAUUAUCUGAUUGUAAAUAUCAAUAUACUAAUCUAAUUAAAUAUGAGUUGUAAUAUGAGCGUUAGUCUCAUGUAAUUAAAAAAAAAAUGUUUCAAAAUAGGAUUCUUAAAAGGUUGGGGAAAUGGCCAUCAAUAUCCCCAACUUUCCAAAAAGAGACACCAAGACCCAUUUUGACCAUAAUACCCUUUACUUCUAUUAUCCCCAAAAAAUUGACUCUAAUGUUUUAUAAUAAAUAAAAAUAUAACAUUAAAAUAAAUGUAAUAGUAUAUACAUUUUAAAAUAGUUUCAAUAUCUAAAAACCAUUUUAAUAUUUUAAAUCCUAUUAUAUAUAUAUUAAAGUAAAUUUUAUAAUAAAUAGAAUCAUAAUAUUGAAAUAAAUGCAUUAAAAUUUAAAUUAUUUUUAAUAUUAUGUAAAAUAAUAAUUUUAUCAUUAUAAGUAUAUGAGAAUUUUUUUAAUUGUAGAAUGUAUUUAAUGCAAAUAUUUAUUUAAAAUCUCUACAAUAAAUAAAAAUAUACUAUUAAAACAAAUCUCUACAAUAUAUACAUACAUACAUAUACAUUGGCCUGGUAUUUUAUUUUUCAUUUUUUAAACUUAUUAAAUCCUCUAACUAUCAUUUGAUUAUUUUUUUCAAUGAUGAAGAGGCCAUUGCCGGAUAAAUUAUUAAAAUCAACUAGUUCUACAAGAAUGUCCCUUUUUAAAGGAAGAUGAUUCUCUCUCUCGAAAUUUUUUAUCUUGUGCUACAAACUAAAAACUUAUGCCAUUUCAUUAACCACAGAGAUCUUUGAGGAAAUGAUGCUUCGCCCCCCCCCCCCCCCCCCCCCCCCCCCCCCCCCCCCCGCGGCGCCAAAAAGUGUCCUUCCAUAUUUUGUGAAGGCUAAUACAUCGAUGAAUCUAGAUUUCUUUAAAUUUUUUGUUUUACUCAAUUCGAGAUAAUAAAUAGUUUAUCUUUAUUAAAUCUUUACUUUAACAAUGAUAGAUAUUCAAUCCAUGCAAAUAUCUAUCAUUGUAUGAGCUGAUUGCGUGGAGGGAGCGGUAAUUGAAAUCUAAUUGAAAACAGCAGAAGGCUGUUCUUGACAGAUCUCAAAUAUAUUACGGACACGUUGGGAGACAUCUCUAUCAUAGAUAUCCCCAUGCAGUGAUAUUUGUCGUGAUCUAAUUUUUAGUAAAUCUGUAAGAGAGAUUGUAACAUCUUUCAAGUUUUUUGGUUUGAUAUUCUAGACGAAAACGGUUUGUCGUUUCUUGAGCAAACGGCUAACCGUUUAAGUCCAGAGAGCAUGUUUGUUGUUCUGGAUAAAACGGCUCACCGUUGUUGCGAAAACGGCUAACCGUUUAACUCAAGAGAGCAUGUUUUAUGUUCUAGAGAAAACGGCUCACCGUUAUUGAGAAAACGGCUAACCGUUUAUUUACAGAGAGCAACGUAUUUGAUAUUCUGGAAUAAAAUGGCUCACCAUUUAUUGAGAAAACGGCUAACUGUUUAUUUCCAGAAAGGCGUCAAUUAGAAAAACGGUUAGCAAGAAUGAAAAUUUCAAUUGACAAUCGAUGCAAAUUCAAACCAAAAGAGUGUCUUCGAAAAAGUACCAUUUCUAAUGGUUGUAUUCUUUCAAAUAAACAUCUUCUUCAUUAAAGAAAUACACACAAUUAGAUUGAUAAUCAGAUUUUGACAGGUUUCUUAUAUGUUCUGGAAAUACAAUCUUAUUUGCUAGAGAUUGUAUUCAGGAUUUGUUAUAUCUUGGGGGUAAUUUGCCAUUAAAACUAUAUAGCAAACCAAGAUUGGUGAGGGCAAAUAAAACCUUAAAGGAAAGUAUGCAAACACGUCUCAAAUCCUAUGAAACUUUCUUUGUUCUUUGCCUCCAUAUUCUUAUUAUUCACUAACAAAAUCCCCAUGCAGUGAUAUUUGUCGUGAUCUAAUUAUUAGAAAAAUCUAUGAUUUCGCUACUGUAAUAAAAUUUGUCACUACUCUACAUUAAUCUAAAUGUCUGAUGAGAUUUGUAAUUGCUUCCGACGGGAAAACAGUUAAUAGGUUGAUUGAAUGUAUGUGGUAAAGAUUCCACGUAUCUCACGACAGAAUGCUGACCACUGGAACCCUAUCUACUUUUACGCGAUUAAUUCACGAGCUUAGGCACGACAAUUGCAAUACAAAUUAUCCCUUCAUCAUAUAUUUCGUUAAAAUUCAUUCUGAAGCACUAAAACUAAACAAUCGAAUAUGGCUUUGAGGGUCGAUGAUGCCAGCAGCAAUGAGAGUGCAAUUAUCACUUGUUUAGUUUCUGUGCUUGCCGUGGCUUAUUUAGCAUGGAAUGUGAAAAAAUCAAGGAAAGCAAAUGCUAAACUGCCACCAGGACCUCGCGGCUUGCCUGUAGUCGGAUACCUCCCAUUUCUCGGGACUACUGACUUGCACAAGAAAUUCACGGAAUUUAUUUUACUAUUAUAUUUAUAUUCAAAAUAAUUUUAAUUAGCUUUUAAAAUGAAUGAUUUUAGGAAAUUAUAAAUAAAGGUAACUAAGAAUUCUCUUAAUGUAAUAUAUUAUUAAUUAGUUUAAAAAUACAAAUUUAUUAAUUAGAGAAAUUAUUAGUGAAUUUAAAUUAAUGAUCUUAAUGAUUUGUUUGUACGAUUGCCCCCAAUCAAAGGUAAUUUUCCUAAAAAUUAUUAGGAAAUUAGAGAAAUUUAAUUUUUUUAGUGGGUUCAAUUGCCCACACACCCCGACUGAAGCAUUUUUUACAAUAUGUACUCCGUUUGUCGGCAGGAAAAUAAAGGUCUUGACACAUGAUCACUUCACUCCUUUAUUUACUUUGCUAACGCAGAUUUUGAGGUAUUAAAACAAAUAAUAAUUGAAUAUGACUUUGUGGGUCGACGACGCCAGCAACGAGGAGACCGCCAAUUAUCACAUUUUAAGUUUGCUGUAAUUGCCGUUGUUUUAUAUUAGUAGAAUAUUAGUGAUAAGAUAAUUGUAGAGUUUUCAUUUUUUUAAUAUUAAAAUCAAGUCAAUUUAUUAUAAUAAAUUUAGUUGAAUUUAAUCGUAUUACCACAUAAAUUGAAUAAUAAUAGAAUUCUCGACAAUAUUUCAAUAUUUUAAUCUCAAGCAUUGGAGUGGCAUUUAUUUGUUAUACGGUCGAUUUUAGAAUUUAUAAAAUUAUUCGUUGCUGAAUUGCACCAUAUGCUGCAUAACCUGAAACUUAAUAAACGGAACGUAGCGUUGGCACCGUUACUCAACAUUCACUGUUACGACUUUGUGACAUUAGAAUUAAAAUCUUUUCCACAUUUAAUUUGUUUACUUCCAACUUAAUAUUUAACAAAAUGUAUGUUAGCAUUGUAUGCCAUAUCAUCUGUAAUUUUGUCAGGAUCGAUCAUUCUAAUUUUUAAGCAGAACUUUUUGUCAAUGGACAAACACCUCAUACAGCUUGUCAGAGGCAUUAGUAUGAUGUAAAAUUGUAAUGGUAUAUCUUGAAUUAUUUUAGAAUAGUGAAUAACUAUUUGGAGCAAUAAAAACAAAUAAGACAGAUGAGAAAAUGGCUAAAAUUAUAUAAGUGACCCAAAAUUUUUUGCUAUUUCCAAGAAAUCCCCAAUCUGAAUGGACCAGAGGGAGGCAAGUUAGAAAUACAUUUCCUUCAUAGACAAUAACAACGAUGAGUGGAUGACAUCAAACCACGUUGGUAUCAAUAUUGAAAUAAAGGUGCAAUUAUUCAGCCAAUGAGCCUUAGUACACAUCAAGAUAUAUAAAAGUCAAGAAAAUGAAAAUUUAUCCCAAUUAAAACUCUUUCUGGCUGCAUUUAGCUGUUUCUGUUUAGGGAUGGCAAUUUAAUCCGGACCCAGCCCGACCCGGAUGAAUCCAGAAAAUUCGGGGUGGAUUCAACCCGUACCGGAGUGAAUAAAAUCUGAUAUUCAAAUUCAAUAUUUUCAACCCGGACGUUUCCGAGUCCGGAUCCGGAUUUGGGUAAACCCGCAUAUCCGGAACCCGGAUCCGGAUAACUAUUUUAAUAUUAAUUUUUAAAUCAUUUUAAAAUAAAAAAAAAUUAGAAAAAAUCAGCCCUAAUGCCCUUCCACAGCCACGGCAGCCAAACCAAACCCAGACAUUUCCUCUCUCUCUCUUUAGCCCUUCUUUUCAACAAAUCAUCAUCGUUGCUCAUCAUCGUUUCGUCGUGUUCAUCUUCAUCUUCAUCAUCAGCUGCCGUUUGUCCAGCUAUGUCACUAGUUUUGGCCGCCGUUUCCGUUUGUGCACCUUCGCAAAUCGGGAUCUCGAUUUGGCCGCCAACACUUCUACCCCCUGGUGUUUUGCUUUGUCCUCGACAACUUCUUUGUUGAUAAAUUGACGGGCACUUAUGAAUGCAUUUGUCUCUGUUUCUUCAUUUACACCUUCCCAGUUGUUUGUUCAUUUGCUUUUUGGAAGGAAAAAAAAAAAAAAUCAGCCACCAUUUAUCCUUCCCCUUUUCUUGACCUAACCCCACAAAGCCCAAUUUGUCAUCAUCAUUCAUUGGCAAAUUUGUUAUCAUCAUGGUUGAGACAUCAUGAUUAUCUUUGAUAAUUGAAUUUGUGUAAUAUGUUACCUUGGAUUUUAUUUCUAAGUAUUUGAUUUUGAAUUAUUUUCCAUUAUUGGUGUUAAUAGAUAGAAGAUUAGAAAGGAAUUCUUCACUGAAUAAAGAGAUGGGAAAUUGCAUCUUUUAGCAAUCAUCCGGGUUAUAAACCCGGAAUCCGGAAACCAGGAUUUUUCCGGGUUUAACCCAGUCCGGACCCGAAUGAAAAAUAUCCGGGUUUACAUCCGGGUCUGGUAUUAAAAUUUAUCGUCCGGAUCCGGAACAGGGAAGACAAAACCCGGACCCGAACCCACAUUUUGCCAUCCCUAUUUCCAUUUGAAGUUAACAACAACGUUUCUUUCGUUUUGUGGGCGACUUGACUGAGCCAGCUGGAUUCUAGUGCUAGUAUGUGAAAAUAGAAGGCUAAUGAUUUCACGUUCACUAGCCCACCUCCCCUCCUCUCGUUUCCUCUGAAUCAAUUUUCACGUGUGGUACCGAUUGAAAAUAUCUCUGACAUUUCGUGGACAUCUCUAUUGAAAAUAUCUCAGACAUUUCACUCAGGCAAACUUAUUAAUAUAAAAAAUCUAUGAUUUUUUCGUCUUAUACUGUAGAAAAAUUUGUCUAUACAUUAAUCUAGAUGUUUGAGGUGGUUUAUACAUCUGUGGUAUAGAUUUAUAGGUUGAUUGAUACGUCUGUGGUAUAGAUUUUAUGUAUUUCAUUAUCAAAUGCUGGCCUUUGGGACCCUAUCUACAUCUAUUUAUAAAACUAACGGGUGCCAGUUAUGCCAUUACAAAUUAUCCCCUCUUCAUACAUUUCCUUAAAAUUCUUCUGAAACACCAAAACUAAAUAAUCGAAUAUGGCUUUGCGGGUCGAUGAUGCCAGCAACAAUGAGGCUGCAAUUAUCACUUGUUUAGUUUCUAUGCUUGCCGUGGUUUAUUUCGUAUGGAAUGUGAACAAAUCAAGGAAAGCAAAUGCUAAACUGCCACCAGGACCUCGCGGUUUGCCUGUAGUCGGAUACCUCCCAUUUCUCGGAACUACUGACUUGCACAAGAAAUUCACGGAAUUAUCCGGAGUUUAUGGUCCGAUCUUCAAGCUCUGGCUCGGAAAUAAAUUAAGUGUCGUGGUGAGCUCACCUUCCCUAGUUAAACAAGUGGUUCGUGAUCAAGAUACAACAUUCGCAGACCGUGACCCGCCGAUCUCAGGACUAGUGACCUCCUUUGGUGGCAAUGAUAUUACAUGGUCCAAUUACGGUCCCGAAUGGAGAAAGUUGCGCAAAUUUUUUGUGGGCAAGAUGAUGAGUAACGCAAGCCUUGAUGCUUGUUAUGCUUUAAGAAAACAUGAGGUUAAAAAUACUAUCAGGGAUUUGUAUAACAACGGCAACAAAAUUGGUAAGCCCAUUGACAUUGGUGAAUUGUCGAUUUCAACAUUGGUAUGUGCUAUGCAGAACAUGCUGUGGGGUGAAGCGCUUGAAUUAAAAGAGAAAGGGACAACUAAUCUUGGGGUUGAGCUAAAAUUUAAGUUUGCAGAACUCAUGGUGCUACUGGGAACACCGAAUAUUUCGGAUAUCUUUCCAAUGCUUUCUUGGCUCGACAUACAAGGUAUAGAGAGGAGAGCAAAGAAGAUUUCACUCUGGUUUGAAAAAAUUAUAAAUUCUACUGUUGAAAAGUAUAGAAGCAAGGACUUUAAUGUUGAAGGUAAAGAAAGAGCAGGGGAAAAUUUUGAAGGAUCAAGGAACAAGAACUUCUUGCAGUUACUAUUGGAGCUUCAAGAAAAUGAAGACGGUUCUUCCUCAAUUAGCAUGAACCAAUUUAAGGCCGUACUCGUGGUAUGUUAAGAAACUAGCCGCAAACAGUUAUACAAGCACAGCUGUAUAUUUUGCAUGAGUGAUAUUUUCAACCUUUUUUUUUUAUAAUUAGAAUUUUAUUGUAACCUUUUGGACAGGAUAUAAUUACGGCUGGAACCGACACCACAACUACGAUGGUGGAAUGGACAAUGGCAGAGUUGAUGCAGCAUCCACAAAUAAUGAAGAAAGUUCAGGAAGAAUUAGCUCAAGUUGUGGGCAUGGACAGUUGUGUUGAAGAAUUUCAUUUGCCUAAAUUGAAAUAUUUAGAUGCUGUGGUGAAAGAAUCGUCUCGUCUGCAUCCUGCAGUGCCUUUAUUACUACCACGCAGAGCAAGCGAGAGUGGCAGCAUUGGUGGCUAUAACAUUCCCAAAGAUACAACUAUUAUGUUGAAUGUUUGGGCAAUCCACAGGGACCCUAAACUUUGGGAUAAUCCCUUAGAAUUUCGACCCGAGAGGUUUCUAGAUGAUGGUAUCGCGAGUAAGUUCGAUUACUCAGGUAACAAUUUUCAGUACUUGCCAUUUGGUUCUGGUAGAAGGAUGUGUGCUGGGAUUCCUCUAGCUGAGAGGAUGCUGAUGUUUGUUUUGGCUUCGUUAUUGCACUCAUUUGAGUGGGAAUUGCCAGCUGGCACAAAGCUAAACUUAUCUGAAAAAUUUGGGAUUGUCAUUAAGAAAAAAGAGCCUUUAGUUGCUAUUCCAACACCAAGACUAUCCAAUUCAGAGCUCUACCAUUAAGACAGAAUGGUUGUGAUGAUUUUGUUAAUUUCCGAAGAUUUGUAUGUUAUGUCAAGUUCAAUCGUAAUAAAAUAUUUCAAAUAAGAGUCCUCCGUUGCUUUUUUUUUUUUUUUCAACCGCAUAAUCUGUCGUCAUGCUUGUAUUUGGGGCUACUUUGGAAUAAUUAUGUUUGAAUUACAAUAUAUAAAUAUUACAUUUUAAAAUUUUAUGAGAUUCUAAAUUUAUACACGUUCAAUA